rnacentral:lncRNA from 1 species
UUUUUAUUCAUAAAAAUGUUUUAUUUGAUAUUGUAAAUUAAAAGUGUCAAAACACUAGGAAUAAAUUUAUCAAACAAGUGAUAUUUUUUUUUUCUUUUAAUUUUUAACGGCCUGUAUCUCUCAAAUUGUCACGCGAUGAUAUUUGCAUUGGUAAAAGUGUGCCACUAAUAUCCUAUUUACUCUUUGUUGACACCUUUCUCUUUUUAAGAUUGUAAAUGUAGAAGAGAAUACUUUAUUUAACAUAGUAAGUGGGAAACAAAACAAUACAUAGAUGCUUGUUUCUAGUUUUCAGGGAGAUUCCAUGUUUCCAUAUCCUCGUCCUACAUUCUUCCCCACCUUCACCAAGGUCCUUCGGUUUCCCCUCCAUCGUCGUCUUGAUUACCAUUUUCUCCUUCACCAUUGUCUCCGUUGUCGGGGUAUUCUUCAUCAUCUUCGAAGGGUGCCUCACUAUUACCAUUUUCUUCUUCACUAUUAUUGUCUCUUGUUCCCCAUCCCAAUCCUGGUAUCCAACCCAAUGCCAAAUCUCUCAAACCUCUCCAAUCUACAUAACUUCUUAUUAAAGUACUAUAUUCGGAUUGCUCAACUGCCACAAUAGUGGUAAGAAGGGGAACACAUAGAAAGAAUACUAAUAUAAAACACUUUGUUUUCAUCCUUGCUUAAAUUUCUUAAAGUUUAUUGUAAAAUAUGAAUAAUAUCCCCAGAUAUUUAUACUGUUCACGCAUGGGAAAAAUAAGAUAAUUUUAAAAGACAAAAACAUGUUGAAUAAAUAUAUAUUGUAUACUAAGAAAAAAACAGACAAUACAUAUUCCAUGGCCAAUUGUGAAGACAAUGGGUCAUCAAAAUCCAUUGAGCCACGGAAUGGUUAAAUAAAUUAGAACAUGUCUGUCUUUUGGGUAUAGAUAAUUUGAGGAUUAAAGAGCCAUUAUAUCCAUUUGAGCUAAGUAAAAUGAAAUUGGAUCGAUUAAAUAAAAGAAUAAAAAUGGAAGGGCUUGGAGUCCAAAACAUGUUUAAAAGUUGAAUUUUAUAAUAAAGAGUCAUUUGUGUGAAUUAAUAAUAAUAGAGGAAUUAUAAUUAUUGUAAAAUUAAAUAAAAAUAACAAAAUAAAACAUAAAAGACGAAACAUAGAAAGUAGAAAGUUAGAAGAAAAAAAUCCCUCUUCUUUCAACCUUCCAUUGCUACUUACUUUUCUUGUUCUUAUUUUCCUUUUCUAUUUUCAUAUUAACUUAUAUUUUUUGAACAGAAAGAUAAAAAUAAAUAAAUAAACUGAAUGAGCUGUUUGUUUAAAAAAUUUAAAAAUCAAUUUUAAAUUUAUACUUUUUAAAAUAAUUUUUACAACAACUUAUUCAAAAAUAAUAGAAAUUAUUUUAAACUCAUUUGUUUUCUAUUAAAAAGAUAAUUUUUUUGAUAUUCACUAAUUUAAAUAUUUGUUAUUAGAGAUUUUACUAUAAUAAAAAUGUAUAAAAAAUUUAUAAUUCAAAAAUCAUAUUUUUAAAAAAGAUGUAGCAAAUAAAUAAAAUAUAUAAAAUCAUAUUUUCAAAUGGAAUUUUCCAUUUGGAGUUUUAUUUAAAAAAUUAUUUUAAAAACAUAUUAUAACAAAAUGAUAAAAUCAUAUAAAAAUCAUAUUUUUCUAAAUUUAAACAAACUAGCUCAUUAAUAUCUGAAAAAUUUCAUUGCAAAGAACCUUUUGCAACAAAUUCAUGUACUGACAUGGAAAUAGUUUCAAGCUAGUGAUGCGGGCUUCAAGUAUUUAUUGACUCAAUGUAUUGAUAAUAUGCUUAUGGAUAGAGAGAGAGUUCUAGCUUAUGUUCCAGUUUUCUGCACUAGGAGAAAAUUGAGUAGCUACUUUAAUACAAAUACAAUGUGCAUGUAAUAUUAACAAUUAAUCAAAUGUUCAAGAUUUGACUCGACAAUUAGUUCGUUCUACUCAAACAUAUGCAAACAUGGUAAAAAAUCAAACUUUCAUCAUAUACAUUAUAAAAAUUUAUGUAUCACAAACAAACAUAAUAAAAAUUAGAAUUUUACCAUUUAAAUUCAUCAUAAAUAUUUUUCAUCGUGGAAAUAGAAGUAUCACCUACAUAUUCUAAUAAUAUUCUGUUACGGAGUUUAAAAAAUUUCAAACAACUAUUUUAGAUUUUUCCUUCAUACAUCUUGGGGUUCUAAUUUUGUAAAUCAUUUAUCUCAGUUGAUGAAAUUUGGUUAUAGAACUUGAUUCUAAGACAAGUACACCGAGACUAUGUUGCUAGCCAUUGCACAUGAUUAGAACAAAAAUACAAUUAUCAUUAUUUAAGCACUUGUGGAAGGAUAUUAGUCACAUAUAAAGAUAAAACAAUGUAUCACAAUCCUGAAAUACGAAGAAUUAAAAAGUUCGUCAUAAUAAUACUUGUAUUAGAACUGAAAUAUAUAUUAGAGAAAAAUGUCAAGAAAAUGAUAAUUAUAUUGGUUAAUUGAUAAUACUCGAAAAUAUUAUCCAAAUGUUAUGGACAACUCUAGUCAAUCUAUGUAAUUUUUUUAAAAUUUGUGUUUUAUUUUUUAUGAAUAAAUUUUAACAAAUUAUAUAAUUAUAUUUUUUUUGUUAAGUUUAAAAAAAAAAGUGGAUGUAGGAAGUCCAUUUUUCAAAAGAAGGCUUCUAUAUUUAUAAACUAAAAAACUUAAAUACCCAACAUUAAGUCGUCAUUACAAAUGUGGGCUCAUUUAAGAAGUCUCAUUUGUAAAUGACGACUUUCUAUGAAGGCAAAAAAAUGGUAGAUUAUAUAUGGUUUUGAAAAAAGAGUAUAUUAAAAAAUAAAAAAGUCAAAAAUGAGUUAUUAAAAAAAAUAAAAAGUCUCAUGUGUAUCUUGUUAGACAUAAGUCCUUUUGAUCAUGAUUUUGACAUAAAUAACAAACAUACAAUGUACAUGUAUCAUUUGAUAAAUCUAACAGGUUGAACUGAGUAACAUUUCAGGAAAAAACAAGCAAACACUAUACACUUGGAACAAAAGCUUGGAACUCAAGGAAUCAACCAAAAUUGGAGGAUGUGCUUGAGAAAGAUGCAAAUAUGUAUAGUGUGAUUAGUGGUUAUAGUAGUUAUUUAGUAGACUCAUCACUAUGGUUUCAUACUUAAGUAUUUGCCAAAGUAAAAAUGAAAUCAUAAAAUAAGAAAGUAAAUCAAUCAACUGAUAAGUCAAUUGAUGAAUCAAUUGGGCAAUCGAUUGUCUGACUCAAAACAAAAGUUUUUACUAAGUAAAUCGAUUGGGAAAUCGAUUACUUAAAGGCUUUUAGUGAAACCUGAGUUCUGAGUUUAAUCCAAUCAAUUGGGCAAUCGAUUGGGACAUCAAUUGAGUAAUCCACUUUGUGAUUCACAGAACCAACCACUUACUGAAUCAAUCGAUUGGCAAAUUGAUUGUGAAAAAGUUAUAGAAGUACGCCUAAGAGUGAGGGUGAGUUAGGUUUUAGAAAUUUUCUUGUUUUUUUAGAGAUUUAGUGUUUGAUUUUUCUGAUUUAAGAUAGUGUAUGGAAAAGAUAAAUGGCAGAAAAAUAAAGAACACAAAGAUAUUAUCCUGGUUCCCCUUAUCACCAAGGGUACAUCCAGUCCUCUUGCACACCACAAGAGAUUUUCCACUAUUGUUAGAAUAAGUACAAGUCCCACCCUAGGACCUUUCUUACAAACUCCUAACAAUCACCCUAAGAUAGCACACCACUAUCUUAGUUUACAAAACUUGAAGAAAGAACACCACUUUCCUCAAUUUACAACACUUGAAGAAAGUACACCACUUUCUUCAAUUUACAACACUUGAAUGGUUUAGCAAUAUUGAUUUUGACUUAGAUCAAUAUGAUAUAAUAGGUGAUGUACAAUGAUAACAAUCCAAUAUAAUUUCAAGUACACUAGAGAACUUUUCUCAAUGAUAUGAAAAUGUAAAAUCUGUACUUGAAAUAUAAAAGUGAAACUUUGAAUAAAUCAAAACAUUUUAGAAAGUUUGUUCAAGGUUUGGUUGUAGGAUUGGUUGUUGUUUGAUCUGAAGUUAUGGGGUAUUUAUACUCCAUAAACAUCUCUUCAGAUUCGUGGCCAAUGACCCAAGAGGUUUGAUGAAAGAAUACAAUGAUUUGGAGCCAUUCCAGAUCUGAAAAAUUGUAUUGCUUCCAGUUGUAUUCGAAUACAGGAUGUGUGUAUUCGAAUACACCUCUUUGUAACGUUCAAAAUAUUCAAAAAUUACACCUUGUAUUCGAAUACACAUGUGUGUAGUCGAAUACAAAUUUGUGAAAAUUUGCCACUGACUUACUUUGUAUUCGACAACACAUAGUCGUAGUCGAAUAUAACUUUGAGAUUUUUGCUUUUGACUUGCUUUGUAUUCGAAUACGGGAUGCUGUAUUCGAAUACACUUAUGUAUUUUGUCUAAAAUAUUAUUUUCAAACAUUAUUUAUAUAUUUUUACUUUUUGAAAAUCCUUUUGAUGCAUAUGCUAAAACGAAAGGUUCUCAUGUGCAUUUGAAAUAUACGAAUAUUAGAUUGCAUCAUGUACCUUUACAUUAUAAAAUUUCUAGCAUAUUUGACCAUAGUUGUCUUUGAUGUUUGACUUCUUUUUGAGCUUGCAAGUUGAUCACUUUCCUUGGUCUUUGUCUUCAUCAAAAACAUGUAUUUUACAGUGAUCAACCAAAUCGAUUGGAUUAGAACAGUGGAGUCACUGUGACCAGUCAAGUCGAUUGGCAAAUCGAUUGGAUUAAAACAUUGGAGUCAUUGUGACCAGUCAAGUCGAUUGGCAAAUCGAUUGGAUUAAAACAUUGGAGUCACUGUGAUCAGUCAAGUCGAUUGGAAAAUCGAUUGGAUUAAAACAUUGGAGUCAUUGUGACCAGCCAAGUCGAUUGGCAAAUCGAUUGCAUUAAAAUGUCUGAGUCACUGUGAUCAGCCAAAUCAAGAAUUCAGCUCAUUGCCAAGCUUGAAUAUGUUAAUACAGCUGAUCAGUUGGCUGAUAUUUUCACCAAAGCCUUACCCAAGGACAGUUUCUUCUUUAUUAGAAUGAAACUUGGAAUUAUAGAUCACAAUGAAAUCUGAUCCCUGUGACAAAAUCGAUUGAAACAUCGAUUAUCCUGUGACUAGAUAGAAAAACAACAUUACAAAAUCGAUUGCAUAAUCGAUUUAUGAUGUACAGUGUUUUAAUUGUCAAAAUUGAAAACACGAUAAUCGAUUGCAUAAUCGAUUUUCUAAUCUCAGGUAGCAGUAAAGACUAGAGUAUUCAUUAAUCCAAUCGAUUGGUCAAUCGAUUGAAUUAUUGGAAAAUAGUUUAAAGAAUCGACUUCAUAAUCGAUUAUUUUUCCCAGAACAUCCAAAGAUGUUAACAUUUUCCAAACUAUAACCCGAGCAUCGAUUGGGAAAUCGAUUGAGUCANNNNNNNNNNNNNNNNNNNNNNNNNNNNNNNNNNNNNNNNNNNNNNNNNNNNNNNNNNNNNNNNNNNNNNNNNNNNNNNNNNNNNNNUAUGACUGUUACAAAAAAUUUACUAGCCGUUGGAGACAAAUAUGACUGAGAUCGUUCAACUCCCUACAGUAACGGUAACUUAAUUGAUUGAGAAAUCGACGCAGCAUGCGCAAAGAACUUAACAACAUCGAUUGACGAAUCGAUUUUGAACAGGAAUACUUAAACCCUACUAAAACCUUAAAUCGAUUCCCCAUCUCACUUUUCCAAAAUUUCUCAAACUUCUCACAACUUUCUGAUCUUUCUCUGUAAGCCUUACAUACUUCACAAUAUUCUCAAACACUUCUAAAAAACAUCUUUAAUCUUACUAAUGGCAAGAGUAAAGCAAACCUCUACAAGAUCACAAUCACCAUCAUCAUCUUCAAGUGGAAGAACCCCAUCACCUCCACCAACUUCAAAGAGAGUCUCUAUCCCAACACAUAAAAUCAUGGCAAAAGAUAAGGGAAAGGGCAUUUCCAUUGAACACGAGAAAUAAAAAAAAAGGAAGGCUCCUCCCACUGAAAAGUUAAUGGCUGAUGCUAUGAAAGAUACAACUCAGAAAAACAAGAAACCUAUCUCUUCUCCUCAACCCAAGAAACCUCAACCUGCUAAAGGGAAACAAGCUGAAGACUUUGAUCUACCACCUGUUUUCCUCAAACGAAAAAUCCAUGAGGCACGAACCAUGGAUUUUGCUUAUUUUGAUUCAAAUGGUUUUUCAUUUCAAAAUCAUUUGCGGUUUCAUGGUUUGGAAGGCUUUCUCUCUUGCUCUCUUGACAUAAAUCCAAAGCUCAUUAAGGCAUUCUGUUCCAACUUCAGUCUCACCGCCACAGACUUUAAAUCUGAAGUAAAAGGAAAGAAAAUUUCCUUGUCUUUUGAGGAAUUCUCUGAACUUUCAGGUUUGCCAUUCUUUGGUGAAUCUGUUGAUGGAAGAACCGAGGCAGAUUAUACUGAUGAAGCAUGGGAAACAUCAGUAGACAGGCACACUGUUGUUCAGGACCUGAUGAUUGAGGGAUUCGUCGAAAAGCUAUCACUUCCUACAGGUCAAAUGAAGGUCCAAUAUAGGAUGCUCAUGUACGUACUAACACGGAUGUUAGCGCCUAGGUCGGGAAAUCACGCUGUUGUCCAGAGGCUGGACAUUACUCUGCUGUGGGGAUUAUUCAAAGAGCUCAAGAUGAGCUGGACCUGGAUUGUUCUCAUGAACAUGUCAGAAUUUUCUCAUGGUAAGCAACUCCUCCCUUAUCCACAACUCAUCACAAAGAUUCUGAGACAUUUUAAAGUUUAUGUUGUCAAUAAAGAAUCUGCCAAAACUACUCUCACUUUUGGAGAAUCAAUUGUAAACCAAAUGCAAUUGAAACGAAUAAACGGCAUUUGGACUCGAGCUCAGCCAAAUGCGGAACAAGCUGAGCCAGUUGAAGCCCAUUCUGAGGUUUUAACUAAGUUGCUGGAAUUCAUGGAGAAUCAAGCUGCUCAUAAUGCAAGAGUAGAAGCAUCUCUAAGGACUCUCCAAGCAUCGCUCAAUUCAGUUGCUCAGGAUGUGACUGCAAUACAAGAACACUUAGGCCUUAAGCUGUCAUUUGAAGAUAUUGUAGAUAUAGGCCGUCAAGCAACAAAAGAUCAAAACCCAACCAACUUAGAUAGCACUGAACCUCAUGGAGAUGAGACACUUGCUGAGGCUAAUACAUCAGUCUCUACCUCUCCCGCUGGUAAUAAUGAGGAACAGCCCUAGAUUAGUUGACUAGGAUUUUGGUUUCUUUGUUGUUUUGUAAUGUUCUAGUAUUGUAUUGAAAUGUUCUAUUAUAACUUUGUCAUAUUCUCUUCUGUUUAUAUCUUUUUGCUUUAAAUGACAAAGGGGGAGAGUUUACUACAUUUUUAACUUGUUUACUGCAUCAUAUGCAUUGUUGCUCUGAUACCAAGUUCUAUAAAGUUUUGAAUUGCGUUCUAUAAAGUUCUGAAUUGCUCUGAUACCAACUGCUAAAUUGCUAAAUAGCUCUGAUAAUGUAGUUUGUAAGAGUUAGCUCUGAUUGUGAUAGCUAUGAUACUGUAUGUUGUAAAUAGCUCUGUAUGCUAACCUGUGUGAAAUAGAUCUAAUACUGCACUGCAAAAUUGAUAAAAUCUUGUGUAGCAAUAUAGCUCUGAUACUGCACUGCUAAUUUGAUGAAUUUUGUGUUGCUGCUCUGAAACUGAUUUGGUACUCUGAUAUUAAUUCUGUUGAUUGGUUUUAACAAGCUAUGAUUAUUCUGUGACUGAUAAUGUUAAAGCCUUGUUAAAGGAAUCAUGAACUCCAAAAUUCAGGGGGAGCUUUUUAAAUAACAAUAACUAUAUUUUUUUAAGUUUUGAAAUGUUAAACUCAAGUUAAAAUUGUAUGUUUGUCAUUUAAUCAAAAAGGGGGAGAUUGUUAGACAUAAGUCCUCUUGAUCAUGAUUUUGACAUAAAUAACAAACAUACAAUGUACAUGUAUCAAUUGAUAAAUAUAACAGGUUGAACUGACUAACAUUUCAGGAAAAAACAAGCAAACACUAUACCCUUGGAACAAAAGCUUGGAACUCAAGGAAUCAACCAAAAUUGGAGGAUGUGCUUGAGAAAGAUGCAAAUAUGUAUAGUGUGAUUAGUGGUUAUAGUAUUUAUUUAGUAGACUCAUCAGUAUUAGACUCAUCAAUAUGGUUUCAUACUUAAGUAUUUGCGAAAGUAAAAAUAAAGUAAAUCAAUCAACUGAUAAGUCAAUUGAUGAAUCAAUUGGGCAAUCGAUUGUCUGACUCAGAACAAAAGUUUUUACUAAGUAAAUCGAAUGGGAAAUUGAUUACUUAAAGGCUUUUAGUGAAACCUGAGUUCUGAGUUUAAUCCAAUCAAUUGGACAAUCGAUUGGGACAUCAAUUGAGUAAUCGACUUUGUGAUUCACAGAACCAACCACUUACUGAAUCAAUCGAUUGGCAAAUUGAUUGUGAAAAAGUUUUUCAUCAGGAAUGAGUUCUGUGAUCAACCAAAUCGAUUGGAUUAGAACAGCGGAGUCACUGUGACCAGUCAAGUCGAUUGGCAAAUUGAUUGGAUUAAAACAUUGGAGUCAUUGUGACCAGUCAAGUCGAUUGGCAAAUCGAUUGGAUUAAAACAUUGGAGUCACUAUGACCAGCCAAGUCGAUUGGCAAAUCGAUNNNNNNNNNNNNNNNNNNNNNNNNNNNNNNNNNNNNNNNNNNNNNNNNNNNNNNNNNNNNNNNNNNNNNNNNNNNNNNNNNNNNNNNNNNNNNNNNNNNNNNNNNNNNNNNNNNNNNNNNNNNNNNNNNNNNNNNNNNNNNNNNNNNNNNNNNNNNNNNNNNNNNNNNNNNNNNNNNNNNNNNNNNNNNNNNNNNNNNNNNNNNNNNNNNNNNNNNNNNNNNNNNNNNNNNNNNNNNNNUCAAGUCGAUUGGCAAAUCGAUUGGAUUAAAACAUUGGAGUCACUAUGACCAGUCAAGUCGAUUGGCAAAUCGAUUGGAUUAAAACAUUGGAGUCACUGUGACCAGCCAAGUCGAUUGGCAAAUCGAUUGCAUUAAAAUUUCUGAGUCACUGUGAUCAGCCAAAUCGAUUAAACUAAAUGUUUGAGUUACAGGAAGAAUUCAGCUCAUUGCUAAAUCGAUUAUGACUAUGAAUAUGCGUCGACUUAGCAAUCGAUUAUUUUGAUCUCGUUGUUUGAACAAAACACCUAUAAUCGAUUACUCAAUCGAUUCUGAUAUAAUCUUAGUAUCAGUUUCUGAUUUAUGCAUUAAAAGAAUCGAUUGGCAAAUNNNNNNNNNNNNNNNNNNNNNNNNNNNNNNNNNNNNNNNNNNNNNNNNNNNNNNNNNNNNNNNNNNNNNNNNNNNNNNNNNNNNNNNNNNNNNNNNNNNNNNNNNNNNNNNNNNNNNNNNNNNNNNNNNNNNNNNNNNNNNNNNNNNNNNNNNNNNNNNNNNNNNNNNNNNNNNNNNNNNNNNNNNNNNNNNNNNNNNNNNNNNNNNNNNNNNNNNNNNNNNNNNNNNNNNNNNNNNNNNNNNNNNNNNNNNNNNNNNNNNNNNNNNNNNNNNNNNNNNNNNNNNNNNNNNNNNNNNNNNNNNNNNNNNNNNNNNNNNNNNNNNNNNNNNNNNNNNNNNNNNNNNNNNNNNNNNNNNNNNNNNNNNNNNNNNNNNNNNNNNNNNNNNNNNNNNNNNNNNNNNNNNNNNNNNNNNNNNNNNNNNNNNNNNNNNNNNNNNNNNNNNNNNNNNNNNNNNNNNNNNNNNNNNNNNNNNNNNNNNNNNNNNNNNNNNNNNNNNNNNNNNNNNNNNNNNNNNNNNNNNNNNNNNNNNNNNNNNNNNNNNNNNNNNNNNNNNNNNNNNNNNNNNNNNNNNNNNNNNNNNNNNNNNAACAAUCUGUAAAGAAAGUUCUGGAAAUCCAGUAGUGUAAACUGGUGACUAUCUUUGUUGGUGCAUGUGUUCAUCAAGAAGAAGUCUCAUCUUGAUCUCGUGAGGGUUUGGCGAGUAACUCUAGGGAUAAGGUGGCAUUGUAAUAGAAGCGAAUGAGUUGGAUAGAUAGACCAUGUGUGAGCUGGAAAAUCUGUAAAACGUACUCAAGUCGAUUCUAUUGGAAAGGCUGAAAUUUGGUUUAGAUUUCAGGACUGGAUGUAGGCUAUCAAACAGAUAGCUGAACCAGUAUAAAUCCCGGUGCACGAUUUUCUUAUCUUUUCUCUUUACUUUGAUAUUGCUUGAACGCUUAUUCUUGAAUGUUUGUAUUGGUGAAGUUCUGUCUUGAUUAAUCUUUUGAAUAAGCCACUACGCGAAAAAAACGCAUUUUACAGCGCUUUUUUUAAGCCAUUUACAACGCUUUUUCAAAAAAAUAAGCGUUGUGGAAUCGAGCGCUGUAAAUGAUACAACAGCGCUUUUAAAAAAGCGCUAUAAAACAUGUAAAUACAACGCGCGCUUGUUAUGCACAUUUUACAGCGCUUCNNNNNNNNNNNNNNNNNNNNNNNNNNNNNNNNNNNNNNNNNNNNNNNNNNNNNNNNNNNNNNNNNNNNNNNNNNNNNNNNNNNNNNNNNNNNNNNNNNNNNNNNNGGUAUGCUUUUAGAGCGCUUUUUAACACAAGCGCUGUAAAAUACAGACCCAUAAUUUUCAUAUUAUGGGUCUGCAUUUUACAGCGCUUUCUUGAGAAAGCGCUGUAAAAUGCCCACCCAUAAUUUCAUAUAUGGGUGUGCAUUGAGUUUCCACAUCGACAUCUUAUGCGGAGACAAGAAUGAGUAUUUAUUUGACAAUUUCCUCGUGCACACGACCUUCUCGUACAAAAACCUUCAAUGAAAAUUUUAAACUAGAUUAAUUACCAAUACAUUUAAUUAAUUACAAAUAAAUGCAAUUAAAAGUAUUUUUUACCUUAUGUACAAGCUGAUUACAGUAGCACUCAGCUCCUUAUGUUCGAGAAGUUCGUACAUGUGCUCCUUUUCGAUGCGUACAAGGUGUUUGAAGAAAUGGGUUUGUGUCUGAUGUUUUUUGGAUUCCCAUGAUGCGUACAAGGUGUUUGAAGAAAUGGGUUUGUGUCUGAUGUUUUUUGGAUUCCCAUGAUGCGUACAAGGUGUUUGAAGAAAUUAGGUGUCUGAUGAAUAUUAUUUUUAAAGCUUUUUUACAGCGCUUUGUCAAAUAAGCGCUGUAAAAUGUCUUUUUUACUCACUUUCAAAAGAGUCGUUUACAGCGCUUUGUGUGAAAAGCGCUGUAAAAGGUAUAAAACACUCAUUAUUUUAUUUUUAAAAGGAUCUUUUACAGCGCUUUUUAAGAUAAGCGCUGUAAAAUGUCUCUUUAUUUUAUUUUUGUGUUUGGUUUAUUUGGGUUGGGAUGACAUUAAAAACAUUUUUAUCAUUGUUUAUUGGAUUAAAAAUAUUGUUAUCAUUGUCUUUAUCACAAUACUUUAGGAGAUGAUGAAUUAUUAGAAAUGAGUAUUCUGAAGAAUCUAUAUAUAUAUAUGCACUGAGCAAAAGAGAAUCUCUCUAUUCAGUUCAGUUCAGUUCAUGUAAAUUACUAAUUUAUAUUCAGUUCAGUUCAUGUAAAUCAAGCUAAAUAUAAAACACUCAUUGUUACAUGAACUUGGUAUAAAACACUCAAAUCAAGCUAAAUAUAAGCAGAAAAUAAAUUAAUCAGAAAAUAAAUUAAUCAGAACUUAGUAUAAAACACUCAAUUCAGAUUACAUGCAUAUUUACAAUAACACAGUUCAGAUUACAUGCAUAGCUUAUAUAAAACAAUUAAACAUAUAUAUACAUUAAGAUGCCCUUCUUCUUUUCCUGGUGACAUUCACAUUUGUUUGUCCAUUUACAAUACGAAACGAUGGAUUAAUCCAAAUUCCCUCAUCAUGAUCAUCUCUAAGAUAUAAACCAUCAUCAGUUGAAUCAAUUUCAUGUGGUUGUUGUGAUGUUGCAAAUAAAAGAUCAUUACCAACAUCUUCAUCAUUAUUGUUAUCAUCACUUAUUUUAUUGGUCGAUAGGACAACAGACCAUUUAUCAUUAGAAGGAUCAGUGACAUAAAACACUUGUUGAGCUUGCGACGCUAAAAUAAAAGGCUCGUCUUUGUAUCCCACCCUAUUAAAAUCGACAAGCAAGAAUCCUGACUCAUCAAUCCGAACGCCAUUAUUAUUAUCGACCCACUUGCAACCAAAUAUGGGAACACGAAACAUUGUGUAGUCUAACUCCCAUAUGCGCUCGAUAACCCCAAAAUAUGAUAGAUUUGCAUAUAUUGGGUUUUUGUCUUUUGCACUUGAGACAUGCAUCGCUUCAGCUACGAGAGUGACUCCACUAUUUUGCAUAGUGGUCUGAUCAUCUUGUUCUUUGGUAUAAAAUGUGUAGCCGUUAAUAACAUAACCAGUGUAAGAAAAGACAUGUAAGCUCGGACCAUUUGCUAGCCACCUCAAUCUAUUUGAAAUUGAUCCGGGGUCUAUAUCAAAUUUUGACAUUAUGUGAUUUUUUAACCAUGUUACAAAACUUCGAUUGUGCUCUCGAGUUAUCCAAUUUUGAUUCCUAUUCAUGUUCAAACGAGAUAACUGAUCAAUGUGUAUUGUAACAUACGGUUGAACCUCAUCAUCAUUGUGCAGAACAUACAAUUGUGCCUGCUCCCAUUCUGUCCUUGAUAUAGUCAGUAGUCUCCUUCCAGUUAUCCCUUCUCCUGAUAGUCUUCCCGAAUGACGAGACAUGGGAAGCCCUAUGGAUUCAACAUUGGACAGAUAUUCAGUACAAAAUUCAGCAGCCUCUUCAACAAUGUAUCGUUCAGCAAUACAACCUUCUGGUCGACUUCUACUUUUUACGUACCCUUUUAAUAUUUUCAUAUAUCGUUCUAUCGGAUACAUCCAUCUCAUAUAAGCUGGCCCACAAAGUUGUGUCUCCUUAACCAGAUGAACAGUAAGGUGAACCAUUAUAUCAAAAAACGAUGGUGGGAAAUACAUUUCAAGCUCACACAAAGUAACAACAAUUUCCCUCUGCAAUGUCGGUAAUUUCUGAGGGUCGAUCACUUUACUACAAAUUUCCCUGAAGAAGAAACAUAAUCUAGUUAAGGCUAGUCGAACUUUUUCAGGUAAAAUGGAACGUAUACCUAUUGGUAGCAAAUGCUCCAUUAUAAUAUGACAAUCAUGGGUCUUCAAACCUUUUAACUUGAGGUCUUUCAUACAAACCAAAUUUUUAAUGUUCGAAGAGUAUCCUUCUGGAACUUUAACUUCGUGUAGAAAUUUACAUAAAACAAUUUUUUCCUUUCUAGAUAGAGUAUGAGCGGCUGGAGGUAGAUAUGUGCGAUUUCCUUUCUUUACUGGAGCCAGUUCAUUUCUUAUUCCCAUAUCGACCAAGUCCAAUCUUGCAUUGACGCCAUCUUUAGACUUUCCUGGAACAUUGAGUAACGUACCAAUAACACUUUCAAAUACAUUUUUUUCAAUAUGCAUCACAUCGAGGAAAUGUCUUACAUACAAUGACUUCCAAUAUGGCAAUUCAAAGAAAAUUGACUUUUUCUUCCACCCAGUUUUCACCAGCUCUCCCGCAAAAGGUUUGCCAAAUUUAUUGGUCAAACCUUGUACUUUUUCAAGUAUUUGAUAUCCAGUCGGUGCUAAAGGAGCUUUACCUUCCUCUGAUUUUCCAUUGAAUGCAUUUCUCCACCCACGAUACUGAUGACUAUAAGGUAAAAAUCUACGAUGUCCAAGAAACACAUUCUUCUUACAAUGUUUCAACCGCAUCCAAUUUGUACUCUCUUCACAUAUAGGACAUGCACACUGACCUUUAAUGCUAUAUCCUGAUAAAUUACCAUAUGCUGGAAAAUCAUUAAUUAUGCCGAACAACAUAACCCUUAAAUUGAAACAUUCUUUCUUAUACCCAUCAUAAACUUCCACACCUGUCUCCCACAUACUUUUUAAAUUUUCGAUUAGAGGAGUCAAGUAUACGUCGAUAUCAUUCCCCGGUUGUUUGGGUCCAGAAAUUAACAGAGACAACAUCAUAAACUUACGCUUCAUACAUAACCAUGGAGGUAGGUUAUAUAUUACCAAAAUCACAGGCCACGUGCUAUGUGAGAUGCUUUGAAGACCAUGUGGAUUCAUUCCAUCAGUAGAAAGUGCAAGUCUUAGAUUUCUUGACUCUAUCCCGAAUUCAGGAUACUCGUGAUCAAUUUUUGCCCAUUGUGGGGAAUCUGCAGGGUGUCGAAACAUUCCAUCUCUAAUUCUUUCAUCUGCAUGCCAUGUCAAGUGUUUUGAAUCUUCUUCACUGCGAUACAUGCGCCUAAAUCUUGGUAUUAUAGGAAAAUACCACACGACUUUUGCUGGAGUAGAUUCUUUCUUCUUAUAUCGAGAGACAUUGCAUUUCGGACACGCCUUAAGUAGUUCAUAUUCGUUUCGAAAUAAAAUGCAAUCGUUAGGACACGCAUGAAUCCUUUCGUAACUCAUUCCAAUAGAACACAAAAUCCGUUUAGCCUCGUAGGUUCGACUGGGAAGUUCAUUAUCAUCUGGCAACAUAUCUUUUAUGAGUGUUAAUAAUUCCGUAAAGCUUUUAUCAGACCAUCCAUUACUCGCUUUUAAGUUGUACAACUUUAAUAUCGCUGACAGUCUUGUGAAUUUAGUACAACCAUUAUAUAAUUCUUUCUCUGCAUCACUCAACAAACUUUCAAACAUUUUAGGACAAUCUCGAAGAUCUUCUUCAACUGCUUUUGCAAUCUCAUCAACUCGGUCCGGCUCAUAUGUAUCUGUAUCGAAAUCAGUUGAAGCAUAUGUAGAACUAUUCUCAAAAUUAAUGUUUCCUUUUUUUUUCUCACCAUGUCUUAUCCAACAUGUGUAGCUUUGAUCAAUUCCAUUACAUACUAGAUGUCCUUCUAAUUCAUCUUCUCUAACACGUUUUCCAAAACAACAUUUUAAACAAGGACAAACUACUCUAUUUGGAUCUUUUGCAUUCUUCACUGCAAACUCAACAAACUCCUUCACUCCAAUUUCAUACUCUUUUGACAAUCGAUUGGCUGAAAUCCAUUUCCUAUCCAUAUUAUACCACCUAUAUAAAUGCAGUAACAAAAAUAAUAAGCUUUCAAAACAUAUCAACAAGUUUCAAAAAGAAACCAAUAUCAACUAACAAUUUCAAAACAGAACAGAUCAUGUGGUAUGAGUUUUUGACAAUUUUUGACAAUUUCAAAACAUAACAGAUCAUGUGUAAAAAAUACCUUAGACAACGUAGAUGGCCGCACAGUACGUAGAGGAUAUUAGGGUUCCCAACGUAUAUAAUUAUUUGAAAGAUGUAGAGGAUAUGAGGGUUUCCAACGUAUAUAAUUAUUUGAAAGAUGUAGAGGAUAUGAGGGUUUCCAACGUAUAUAAUUAUUUUAAAGAUGUAUUUUACAGCGCUUGUGAAAAACGCGCUGUAAUAGGUAGUUAAAUUCAAUGAAAGCGCAUGUGUUUUACAGCGCUUGUGAAAAAAGCGCUGUAAUAGGUAGUUAAAUUCAAUGAAAGCGCAUGUGUUUUACAGCGCUUGUGAAAAACGCGCUGUAAUAGGUAGUUAAAUUCAAUGAAAGCGCAUGUGUUUUACAGCGCUUGUGAAAAAAGCGUUGUAACUGAUACGCGAAAGCGCUUCCUUUUACAGCGCUUUUUUGACAAGCGCUGUAAAAGCCUUAUAACGUGAUGUGCAAACGUUAUAUGACCUACUACAGCGCUUGUUUUACAGCGCUUGUCAUCAAAAGCGCUGUAAAAGGUUCCGUUAUUUUUAAAAUAUAAUUACAACAGCGCUUGUGUUUAGAAAGCGCUGUAAAAUGAGCGCUGUUAAAUGUCAUUUUUGGCGUAGUGAGCAUUGUAUCUGAUAAAAUUGUGAAUCUUUGUUCCUUUAUUCAUGCAAUUGUGAAUCUUUGUUCCUGAAUAAAUUCUGUAACCGAUCAUUGUUAAUCUGAUUAAUAAUCUUGUAAAAUUAGUAAAGACAUUUCUCAUAUAUUUUUUAACAAAUAGAGGCCAUAAUUUCCUACAUAUCUUGUAACAUCUAACCAAUCACAUAAUGAGUUUGUAUAUAAAAAAAUUAAUCAUAAAUUUUAUUUAUGGGUAAUGUCUUAAUUUUUUUAUUCUUAAAAAUAUUUUAUUUUAGAUUGUAAUAGAGAUUGAAUAUAUAUUAUUUUUUACUUUUUUUCUUAAUUUUUUAUUAAUGAAUUUAUUUGAGAUAACUAAAUAUAUAUUAUUGAGAUAAUUAAACAUAAAACUAUAUAGCAUCCACAUAUAUAACAUAUACUAUACUAAAAAUUGACAUUACUAAGUAAUAAGAAUCAACUAAGUGAUAUACAUGAUUGGUGUUCCGCGAAAUUUGUUUGUUUAAGACGUGGUGCCAUACAAAAUUACUAAUAUCACUAUUUGAGUUACAACAUAACAUGACAAUAUUAUUGAUGAACGUUAUGACAAGAAACAUGACAAUAUUAUUGAUGAACGUUAUGACAAGAAACAUGACAAUACAAUAGUCCAUGCUUAAUUUAUUUUAGAUAAACAUGGGAUACAAUACAUAUAUAGAAGCAUAUGCAUCUAGUGAAGUCCCAUGUAUCUAUCUAUAUCCUCCUUCCCCAAUCACUGAUGAUACCUUCACUUCACAACCUUAUCAACUCCUCCUUUAACUUUUCCUUUCCCAAGGUCCUUCGGUUUCUCCUUCACCAUCAUCAUUAGCACCAUUGUCUCCUUCACCUUUUUCUCCUUUAUUGUUGUCUCCAUUACAAAUGACUUUUGUACCCCAUCCCUCACUACUUUCUUUUUCGUCACCUCCAAAUCCCCAACCUGACACCCAACUUCCCCAACUUCUAUCAUUUUCUACUUCACCAUCUUUGGGUGGCUCGAUUGCCACAACAUUGAUAAGGAGAGUACAAAAUAAACACACCAAGAUAAAAAGCUUUGUUUUCAUCCUUGCUACAAUUUCUUAGAGUUUGUUGUAAAAUAUGAGUACAAUUGGCAACUAUAUAUAGUUAAUGCAUGAGAAAAAUGAAUUAAAUAAUUUCAAAAGACAAGAACAUAUUGGAUAUUAAAAAAUAUAUACUACGCGGCCAAUUGCGAGGGUAAUGGGCCAUAUAUGACCAUUGAGUCAUUGAAAGGUUAAAUAAAUUGAGACAUGUUUGAUGGAGUGGAAAAAUGAUGAAUUAAGUCAAGUUGGAUGUGACUUUUAUUCGGUUUUAAUAUUUUAUCGGACUAAUUUUUAAAUCUCAACUAGUCCUUUAAUUCAAUGGAUUGCGUGUUUGACAAGAAUAUAAUGAAAUAAAGAUGAAACUGAGUUACUUUUAUGACGAAUCGUCAAAUAUUAAUCAUUAAAUAUUUUUUUAGAAAAAAAAUAUUAAACAUAAAGUAACUCAGAUUAGUCAUUUAUAAUUACUACUUGUCAAUCUAUUUAAAAAUAGUAACACAUAACAUUGUUAUACAAACAAGUGAGUUAAUGAUUUUAUUGGUAAUUUUUUUUUUUUUAUAGUGAAUCAAUAAUAACAUAAAAUAAUUAUUUGUUCUUAAAGUAGUUUGAGACACAAAGAAUAAUUCAAAUUCCGUCAUUUUUCUAUCUUGUCUUAGACUUGUCUUUAUUUUUUGUUCCUAUUUUUUUUUUUUUGGAACAAGGGUAGACUCAACUUAUUACUUACGAGGUAAGAUGGGUUCACCGAAGAGAUCGUGUACUAUACACCACCCCUAGAUCAUGUACUAUACACCCUACAUGUUUCUCUAAUGAUGUAAAUCUUAAUACCAAUUUACUUUGAAAAGAUGCUUAUUUAUGUGUGAUAUGUGUGAUACAUCCUUUAUUAUAUUAUCAACUAUAUACAAUAAUAGAACAUCAAAUGUGACUUGAUCGCGAGACUUUAUUGAAUAUUAAAAUUUAGAAAACUGUGUAACUUUGUUGUAUUAUUUACUUUUGACGCUCUUUAGGUUCCAUUUAUUAUUAAGUUAUUAUAUCUAAACUCAAAUUCUUAAUUAAAACAUUUCUUUGUGGUGAGAGCAAAGAGGUUAGGAGAUUCAAUUGCUUAAAAUUGAAAAUAAAAAUUUUCUUAGAAAAAGAAAUGGAUGAAUUUCAAGCGAGUGUUUAUUAGAAAUGUUUGUUAUUAUAUAUUUGAAUGGAUGAGUUUAAACGAAAGAAAACAUUAACGAGGAGGAUGAUAUUUCAUAAUAAAAUACAAAUUAACAUAUUCAUCAGUAUUUUUAUUAAAAAACUUAUCAUCACAAAAACAUAGGUGAAUGAUGAUGUAAAUAUACAACACAUGACUUUGGACGUGUGAAAUAUCUAUAUUAUAAAGUUGCAAGAUAGAUCACAAUUCAAAAUUGACAUAGAUUAACUUUGAUUGAUGACAUUUGAUUUUAUGAAAGUAGUAAGAAAGUGCAUGAUGGAUGAUCAUGAAAUUGAUCAAUUAAGAGUAUUGUCCUGAGUUUGCACAACAACAACAACUUCACCGGCAUGUGACUAGCACUUUGUGCAACUCCGACUAUAAAGCCUUCCAAGUUCUAUUCUACAACACCCAUUGGUUUGGCAUCAUUCUUCUCUUCACCAAACUCUGCAAAUAAUACAUUGUAUAUUAAAUUUUUUUUUUAUUAAAAACUGAAUUCCACAUAAAAAGAUACAAUUUAAAAUCGUUAAAAACUAAGAAUGUAGGUUAAUAUUAUACAACAACAAAAUAUUAAAAAUGUAACAAAGUCUGCAAAUACAUCUAAAUUGAAAAUAUUAAAAACAUUAAAGUUAUUGGUUGAAUUUUUACUAAUCGAUUGAUAUUGAUCUCUCAAUUAAAAUUAAACGAACACCGCAGCAAGACAAAAAAUAAUAAAUUGGCCCAUAACAAACAAAAGCAAAUGAUAUAAAUAUGUAUAUAAAUCACUUAUUUAAAUAAUAUAAAUAUAUAAUUUAGAUUAGUGAUUUUAAACUAAAAAUUGAUCAUUAAUCACUCCUCACAUUAAAACAAUGAAAAAUGGAACAAAAGGUUGCUGAAAAUGGGAGCAGCGACGGCUGCUAUAUUGUUUAUUAAGUUAUCAAGAGAGGUUAGAAGGAGUGAAUAUUACUAGUUAAUUAGUUAUAUAAGUAAAAUUAUAUCUUUGUAAAAUAAAGUAUAAUUAUAUCGUUAAGUUUCUAAAAAAAAUAUAUCAUUAAUUGUUUAGAUAAUUAAAACUUAAGAUAAGGAUAUUGAUGAAUUUCUGAAUGGUUGUGUUUAAAAUCAAUAAAUUGUAGAUUACUUUUCAAGGAAUUGCAGGCAGCUUACCAUAUAUAAUAUAUUAACUCCAUUAAUUAGAUUUUUAUUUUUUAAAAUAUCAAAUUAACGAAAUGUUCCUGUACAUUUUUUACAAAAUAGAAAAAACAUGUUGGCUACAAGUAUCAAACACAAUACCUUUAAGUCAAGAUUGAUUGGCCAAACUUGAUUGUAAGUAUAUUCAAGAUAUAUAUACAAUCGACUUAAGUAAUCAUCAUUUGUAUAUAGUGAAAUGAAUUGAUGCAUUACUUUUUUUAAGUAACUUUAUAUUGUAUUUUGUUUUUUAUGACUUAUAAAUAAAAUAAAUAAACUUAUCAUGAUUUAUUUUCUAAGUAUGAAAUUUUAUUUGUUUAUUUAAAAAAAGUAUAAAAUUUAAGUGAAGUCAUAAAGUGAUCCGGUGAUUAAAAAUGUUGAAAUUCGUUCCCUCUUCCCUCUACGUUCCUCUUUCUCUCCCCUUAACCUCUCUACGUCCUUCUCUCUAACUUUUAUUGAAUAAUUCUUUUCAUAGAAAAUGAAUUGAAUUUUUUUUAAUUUUGUAGGAACAAGUUCAAUAGUACGCAAUUGUUAGGGCAGGUGAUGGUCAUACAUUAAUUUUAGUCAAUUGUUAGUGACUUAACAAUAGAGAGAUCAAUUGUACAAUGAUAUUUAAGACAUUAUUUUAUUUUUAUGGUCACUAAAAAUUAAAUUCUGUACAAUUUAAAAAUAUACACAUGUAUGUCAAAAUUUGGUCAAGUGGUUAUAUGUCUAUUUUAAAAAUAUACAUAUGCUUAAUAAUCAGGCAGGUGAUGGUCUAUGCACCUAAACCAACUUCGGGAUUAACCGAUAAAAGGGGUCUGCGAUUUUUUUUUUUAUAAAAAAUAAAUUUUUUUAGUCUAUAAAAUUAUUAUAACAUUUUAAAUUUAAUCUCAAAAAAUAAAAAUUAUUUACUGUUAGCCGUUAUUUUGAUUUUAUAGGAUUUAAAGAAUUAGUUUUUUACAAAUUUUUUUAAAUAAGAAGUAAAAAUAAAUUAAAUAAAUUUAUGGAGUAAAAAGUUGAAUUUUUUUUUGUAAGGGCUAUAAAUAAAUUUUGAAAUUUUUAUAAGAAUUAAAAACUUAUUUUACCUGUUUUUUAAUUAUUAAAAUUAUUCUUUUUUUAAUUAAGAGUACUAAACGCAUAUAUAUAUAUAUAUAUAUAUAUAUAUAUAUAUAUAUAUAUAUAUAUAUAUAUAUAUGUAUCCCUACAUGUUUUUAAAUCAACUCUCUAAUAUGUUAGAUAAUGUUAUUAUAUAUUAGUAAUAAAAGUAUUUUAAGCAUUUCUAUUCUUUUGUAUAUAUACUUAUUGUAACCCUAUUAACUAAAGUUUGGUUCAUUCUAUGUUAUGAAACCCUAGGGUGGUUGUCUCUCUUCUUCCUCUUUUCAUUGUUAACAUGAUAUCAAAGAGUUUUGGUUGAUUUUGGGAUUUAUUGUAAAGAAGAGAUAUACUAUUUUGAUAGGAAAGACAACCACCAAAAGAGAAAAGAGAGAGUAACCCUAUUCUCAAUUUCGUUAAAUCAGAAUCACAAAAACAUCAAUUGCGCAUUUGUUAACCGUUGGAUCGGUUUGAUUUUUGGACAGCAGGUUCGCAACAUUCAGGUCUUCGUCUUCAACGGUCGGAUUGGCGAAACAACAUCUGGAGGGGGAGAAAUCGUGUUCGCACAACACCAGAUUAUCCUUAAUUUAUUUUGUCUCAGUGAUUGUGUUUGUCGUAUUUUCCUGUCAUUAUUUGUUAUGGCUGGUGCUAAGCAUGAUUCUCUUCAAGCACAUUGGAAAGCACAUUAUCUGAAAUUGGGGAGAGCACAUAGGAAGAAUUUUAGGGGGCCGUCAUCCAAUGUUGUUGUUUCUGCUCCUCCUACCAUUGACUUUAGUUCUGGUUCUGUAUACUCAUUUGAGACUGCUUCCCAAAUAUCUGAUAUUGCAGAACAGUUUCAAAAACUUCUUGUCACUCAAUCACAUGACAUGUCUUCCACCUCUUUUAAAGGUUUGAACUCCUCUACUAUGUUAGGUAUAUCUCAUUCCAUAUAGAUUCUUGAUUCAUGAGCAUCUCAUCAAAUGACAUAUGAUGAUAAAUCUUUUGUAUCUGUGAAACCUAUCUCAUCUUUGUCGGUUAUGACUGCUGAUGGCGCUCCUAUACCAAUAGCAGGUGUUGGUUUUGUCUCCACACCUAACAUGUCUCUUUCUUAUGUUUAUUAUAUUCCUAAUCUUACUUUGAGUCUUGCUUCUGUUAGUCAAAUAUGUGAUCUCGGUUAUUUGGUUAUGUUUUCUUCCACUUCUUGUUGUGUGCAUGAUCCAUAUUCCGGGAGGCUGAUUAGGACAGGUCAUAGACACGGGGGACUUUAUGUUUUGGAUGGCCUGCGACUCCCAGAUACUACAACCUCAACAACUACUGCUGACUUAUUAUCUAGUUUUCGCUUGAAUUCCUUAUCUUCUAGUUUUAUUUAUGGCAUUCUCGCCUUGAACAUGUUUCUGCUUCUGGAUUAAAAUAUUUGGCUUCUAUUAGAGCCUUAGGAAAGUUACAAACCUGAUAUAUCUCAGAUUUUUGUGGUUGUAAACUUGCUAAACUUCCAGCUUUACCGUUUAGUAAAAGUGUUUCCAUUUCAUAUGCGCCCUUUGAUUUAGUUCACUCUGAUGUUUGGGGUCCAUCACCGGUUCUCACCAAAGGUGGACCUGGAUAUUAUAUUUCGUUUAUUGAUGAUUACAGUCGUUAUUGUUGGGUUUAUCUUAUGAAAAACCGGUCUGAAUUUUUUGACAUUUAUUAUAUGUUUCGUGCAAUUGUCAAAACUCAACAUAAUUCUGUUAUAAAGUGCUUUCGUUGUGAUUUAGGUGGUGAAUAUACCUCUAAUGAAUUUUCUGAAUUACUUGCUUAUGAUGGCACCCUCCACCAAACAUCUUGUACUGAUACUCCUCAACAAAAUGGAGUUGCUGAAAGGAAACACCGUCAUAUUAUAGAGACUGCUUGUUCCCUUUUGUUGGCCGCUUCAAUUCCUUGUGAGUUUUGGGUAGAAGCAGUUCUUACUGUUGUUCAUGCUAUUAAUAGAAUUUCACCCUCUAUCAUAUCAGGUUGGUCUCCCUAUGAAAAAUUGUAUGCUUCUACCCCUGAUUACUAUUCUUUGAAAGUUUUUGGUUCUACUUGUUUUGUUCUUCGCCCUCAAGUAGAGUGCAGUAAGUUGUCUUCUCGUUCAGCCAUAUGUGUUUUUCUUGGUUAUGGGGAUGGUCAAAAGGGUUAUCGUUGUUAUGAUCCUCAUGCAAGAAAACUUUAUGUAUCUCGUAAUGUUGUUUUUCUUGAGCACAUCCCUUUUUACUCUAUUUCAUCUGAUUCUCAGAUUACUAAGAGUUCUGAACUAACCCAUAUUGAUCUGUUUGGUCCUAAUGAUUAUGCUUCUAGUGAUUGUAAUGUUGAGAAUUGCAGGACAAAUACUAAUACUCCAUAUGAUGACAUCCUUCUUGUCCUCCCGGCUGUCCAACCACCUCAUGCGAUUGUUGAUCCUCCUCGUUACCCCUCUCGUCAACGUAAGUCUACUCAGUUACUUGAUUUUGUCUAUUUCACUUACUCAACUUCGUUUGUUUCUUUCUUAACCUCUAUUCACAGUUUGUCUGAGCCAUCAUCCUAUAAAGAGAUUGUUCUUGAUCCUCUAUAUGCAUUGCACAAAAUCAAUACUUGGGAAUUAGUACCUCUUCCUCCUGGAAAACGUGCUAUUGGGUCUCGUUGGGUAUACAAGAUCAAAACUAAGUCUGAUGGGUCAGUUGAACGCUACAAAGCACGUUUUGUUGCUAAGGAUUUCUCUCAACAAUAUGGUAUGGAUUAUGAAGAAACUUUUUCUCCUGUAGCCAAGAUGACCACUAUUCGUACUCUUAUUGCAGUUGCAUCUAUUCGUCAAUGACAUAUUUCUCAAAUGGAUGUCAAAAAUGCUUUUUUAAAUGGUGAGCUUCGUAAAGAAGUCUAUAUGGUCCUCCAUAAGAAGUUUCUCAUAAUCAAGGGGAAGUAUGUAAGUUAAAAAAUGCUCUAUAUGGUCUUAAAUAGGCUCCUCGAGCUUGGUUUGAGAAAUUCUCUACUAUGAUCACUUCUCUUGGUUUCCGCUCUAGUGAACAUGAUUCUUCAUUGUUUAUAAGGUUCACCAUUUAUGGUUGCAUUAUACUUUUUCUCUAUAUGUUGAUUAUAUGAUUAUUACAUGUGAUGAUGUUAGUGGAAUCAAUUAGUUGAAAUUGCAGUUAGCCAACAUUCUUGAUCAGGCUCGUCUUUCUGAUACUAGAGCAGUAGAUACUUCUCUUGAGUUGAAUGUGAAAUAUGCUCCAUCGGAUGGUGUUCCUUUACCAGAUUCCACUUUUGUAUCGUACUUUGGUUGACAACUUAGUGUAUCUUACGAUUAUCAGACCUGACAUUGCUUAUGUUGUUCAUGUUGUUAGUCAGUUUGUUGUCUCUCUCACUACAGUACAUUGGGCAGCAGUUAUUCAGAUUCUUCGUUAUCUUCGAGGAACUCAAUUUCAAAGCUGUCUCUUUCCAUCGUCAUACUCAUUAGAGUUACAAGCUUAUUCUGAUGCUGAUUGGGCUGGUGACAUCACAGAUCGUAAAUCCACCAUAGGGUUUUGUAUCUUUCUUGGAGACUCUCUUAUUUCUUGGAAGAGUAAGAAACAAGACAUUGUCUCUCGCUCCUCUACAGAAGCUGAGUAUCGUGCUAUGGCAUCCACUACCGCCGAAAUAAUUUGGUUGUGUUGGCUUUUGCCUGAUAUGAGUAUUUCUCUUUCUGAGGCAACUCCGAUGCACUGCGAUAACAAGAGUGCUAUUCAAAUUGCUCACAAUUCGGUCUUCCAUGAACACACCAAACACAUUGAGAUUGAUUGUCAUCUUACUCGUCAUCAUCUUCAACAUGGAACCAUUACUCUACCGUUUGCCUCUUCUUCUUUACAAAUUGAUGAUUUUUUCACAAAGAUCCAUUCCAUUAAACGUUUCCGUUUUUUAGUUGACAAACUCUCGAUGCUCCAUAUUAAUGCAUCGUGAGUUUGAAGGAAAAUGUUAGAUAAUGUUAUUAUAUAUUAUUAGUAAGUGUAUUUUAGACAUUUAUAUUCUUUUGUAAAUAUACUCAUUGUAACCCUAUUAACUCCAGUUUGGUUCAUUCUAUGUUAUGAAACCCUAGAGUGGUUGUCUUUCUUCUUCCUCCUUUCAUUGUUAACAUAAUCCAUUUUAACCAUAAGUUUUUUUGAAUAAAUUUUGUUCUCAUGUGUUGUCGAUUUUAUACAUAAAUGCAAUAUAAUUUUAUCAAUAUAGAUUUAUUGUAUUGCUGUUUAAAACUUUUUUGCAUAUGUAUUCAUCAAAAUAUCACUUUGUUAUUUCAAUUGAAUACAUAAAAAUAUUUAAAAAUAUAAUUGGAUACAUAAAAAUAUUUAAAAAUAUUACAUCCUUACUACAUAAAAAUUAAUAUCUUGUUAAUAAUAAUUAUUUUUAUUAAUUAACAAAAAAAAAUAUGAAUACAUAAACUAACAUACUUUUCAUCAAAAGUAUAUGUUUGUGAGUAUACGUGUGCAUGGAUGAAUAUAAAAGUAUAUUCUAUUCAUUCUCUUUUGUAUUAUUCAUUGUCUUUGCUAAUGGAUUUAGAGUGUCCUUUAUAUUCUCUUGAAUAAAUUUUGUUUAUAAAAAGAAUAUUAUCAACUUUAUAUCGAGACACUACGCGAAAAAUGGUAUUUUACAGCGCUUUUUUUAAGCCAUUUACAGCGCUUUUUCAAAAAAUUAAGCGCUGUAGUAUCCAGCGCUGUAAAAAGAUACAACAGCGCUCUUUAAAAUAAAAUAAAAAAAAAGCGCUGUAAAUCUCUUCUAAAAACGCGCUGCUUGUUGUAUUAGUUUUACGGCGCUUUUUAAAAAAAGCGCUGUAAUAUGCAUUCCUUUAUUUCAAUUAGAUCUCUUUCUGGGAUUAUAACAACAAUCUCCUUCAUAAAUCGUAAUAUACAGUAUCUGCAGUCUAUGUUGUUAGUUUGACGAGAGCACUAUAAAAUAAAACAUAUAAGUCAAUAAAUAUUUGUGGAUUGAUUGUUAAUGAAAUUUUAAAGUCAUAGAUUUCAAACCUUUAUUAGAAUCCAUGUGAUUUAUUUGAUUUUUGCUUCGACACUGUAGCACCCAUUUGAGCUCGGAAAACUUGUAAAACACUAUCAAAUAAAUGUGAUUAUUAGCAUUAACAGACACAUUAUAUAUAUAUUUAUUUUUUAAAAGCCUAUUACAGCGCUUUUUUUAAAAAGCGCUGUAAAAGACCUUCUUAUUUUAUUUUUUAAAAGCCUAUUACAGCGCUUUUUUUAAAAAGCGCUGUAAAAGACCUUCUUAUUUUAUUUUUUAAAAGCCUAUUACAGCGCUUUUUUUAAAAAGCGCUGUAAAAGACCUUCUUAUUUUAUUUUUUAAAAGCCUAUUACAGCGCUUUUUUUAAAAAGCGCUGUAAAAGACCUUCUUAUUUUAUUUUUUAAAAGCCUAUUACAGCGCUUUUUUUAAAAAGCGCUGUAAAAGACCUUCUUAUUUUAUUUUUUAAAAGCAUAUUACAGCGCUUUUUUAAAAAAGCGCUGUAAAAGACCUUCUUAUUUUAUUUUUUAAAAGCCUAUUACAGCGCUUUUUUUAAAAAGCGUUGUAAAAGACUUCUUUAUUUUAUUUUUUAAAAGCCUAUUACAGCGCUUUUUUUAAAAAGCGCUGUAAAAGACCUCUUUAUUUUACUUUUUAAAAGCCUAUUACAGCGCUUUUUUUAAAAAGCGCUAUAAAAGACCUUCUUAUUUUAUUUUUUAAAAGCCUAUUACAGCGCUUUUUUUAAAAAGCGCUAUAAAAGACCUUCUUAUUUUAUUUUUUAAAAGCCUAUUACAGCGUUUUUUUUAAAGAGCGCUGCAAAAGACCUCCUUAUUUUACUUUUUAAAAGCCUAUUACAGCGCUUUUUUUAAAAAGCGCUGUAAAAUACCUUCUUAUUUUAUUUUUUAAAAGUCUAUUACAACGUUUUUUUUAAAGAACGCUGUAAUAGACCUCCUUAUUUUAUUUUUUGAAAGUCUAUUACAGGGUUUUUUUACAGACUUUUUAAAGCGCUUGUCCAAAAGCGCUGUAAAAGACCUCUUUAUUUUUUUUUAAAAACCUUUUUACAGCGCUUUUCCAAAAAGCGCUCUAAUAGGUCCUUUAAUUAUGUGAAAUCAAAGUCUUUUACAGCGCUUUUUUUAUAGCGCUUGUCAAAAAGGCGUUGUUGUAUCCUCCGUUAUUUUUAAAAUAUCAUACAACAGCGCUUAUAUUUAAUAAGCGCUAUAAAAGACGCGCUAUAAAAUGUCAUUUUUGGCGUAGUGAGAUCAUGGUUAAUCGUAAAAAAAUAACAUGAUUAUUAGAAAACAAUACAAACUACCUACAUAUAACAUUCUCAUGAAAAUAUAUACAACGAAAAAUGAUAUAUAGCUCACCCUUUUCGGUAUUAGAGGAAGUCUCCGUUAAGUCCCUAGCUGAGACCUCAAAGGAGAUCAUAAGAACCAUAGCCAAAAGGCCAAGGAUGAGGGUUGUUUUUUUUUCAAAUCCAUUGUUCAAUAUUUGGUAGUGAAAUUAAGAUGAGAAAAAUGGUAAGAAAGUGUAGUCUAUAUAUAGUGGAGGGAGAGCAAUAUGACUUUUAAGUAUGAAGGAACAAAUGUCAGUUUCAGAGGCUAUGAAAUUAGGAAGCAGCAGUUAUCACUUAUCACUAUUGUCAUUCAUUGUUAAAUUAUUGCCUGCCACCAGAAUCAAAGUCAACCACUUGUUUCAGUCUUUGUUUUCAAUCACCAAUUCUCACUUUGCAUAUAACACGUUAAUGUAUAGUGAGUCUAAUCUUGACUUUUCAAAAUAUGUUUUAAAAGAUGGACUUGUUAAAAAAGUAUGAUAUAUUAUUAAAUUUUAUUAAAUAUUAUUAAAUUAUAUUAAAAAUUUCAUUAAUUAUUUAUAAUUUUUAUUAUCCUUUAUUAAAAUAACAUGACUAUAACGAGAUUAAAACUAUAAUUAAAUAUAAAUUUUUGUAUUUUAUGUUACGAUAUAACCGUUUAAUUUACAUCUCACACUAUACUUAAAAAUUGAUUUCGUACUCGAAUUUAUAGGAUCCAUUUGAUAGACAUGAUAACAUACAAGAUAUGAAUAAAUUAAUCAAUAAUUCUAUCAUAUCUUAUCUAGUUGAAAUGUCUAUCCAGAUGAGCUGGGUUAUAAACCAUCAGGAUAUGAUAAGAAUAGUAGUUUAUUCAAUUAUCCUAAUAAAAUAUAAUUUAAAAUAUAAAUACAAAAAUAAUUUAUAAAAUAUAAUCUAACAUAUAAAAAUGUAAAUCUAAUCAAAUAGAAAAAUAAUUAAUAGAAUUUGAUAUUAAACUUAAAAAUGAAAUAAUAAUAAUAACUAAUUUAAAAAAUGUUUAUGAUUUUACACAAGGGUAGUUUUGUCUUUUUUAUAUAAUUUAAUAAAUUAUUAUUGACAAUUAUAAAAAUUUGAAAGUUAAUUGAAAUUUUAAAUUAAAUCUAAUUUCUUUACAAGGUAUUAUGCCAUUUACAUAUAAUAUAUAUCAUAUAUCUUUAGUACCAUUCUAACAAAUAAAAUAUAAUUAUUUGGUUACACAUGAUUUUGUUUUUAAAAUUUAAAUUAUUUAUUUAGUUGUAUCAAUGAGUAGUUUUAAUAUAAAAUUAUUUCAUUACUUAUUUAAUUUUUUUUGUUAAUUUAUAAUAUUUAAAAUAUAAUGAGUUAAUUUUUAAUAUAUAUAUAUAUAUAUAAUUGUUCACAAAGAUAAUUUUCUUAUUUAAAUAUAAUAUAUAGUAUAUAAUAUCAUAAUGAGAUGUACAUCAAAUACAUGAUAAAAUAAAAUAUUAUCAUAUGUGUAUCAAAUAUAAAAUAUAAUAAUUUUUAUCAUGUCAUUAAUCUAUCAUAUAUUAUAUUAUCAUUAUUCCAUUUUAUAUUGUAUUUUGUUUCUUUUUAUUUUGCACAUCAAAGGGUCAUUUGUAUCUUUGGAGAGUGAAAUAGUUGUAAAGUAGAUGUGAUAGGGAGGGGGGUGUUGUUUGUAAAGUGGGAGGGCUUGGAAGGGCUUUCCAAGAUGUUUAGUGGGAUACGACUUCCUAUUUAUUUUCCUCUUAUUGUUGAAUGUGAAAGAGACACUUCAUUGGUUAAUGUCUCUUAUAAUGGAUAAUUUUAAUGGACUAUCAAUAGUGCAGGUUCAAAUUAAUUAGGAGCUCCCUUUGAAAUAUUACUGGAAUAUUAAGAGUGAUUUAUUUGAAUUUAUUUAUUGGCUUUGUUAAAUUAUUUAAGAGGACUUAUAAAAAUAAUUUAUGACAUAUUUAUAAGUUUUUUUGUAGUUAACUUUUUUAUUUUUAAAAUUGUUUAUGAAAAUAAUUUAAUUUUAAUUUAUUAAAGAUAAUUUAACUUUAUUUUAUUAUUAUUAUAAAUAUAACAUAUACAUAAAUACUUAUAUGAUAAACGUAUGUUUCAUUUAAUUCUUUAUUUUUUACAUAAAUUUUAUAUUUUAUACAAUUUUUUUUUAAGAAUAAAAUCUAAAUUUGAUGCAUAUAUAAAUUAUGUGGAUUAAAUUUACAGAAAUUAAUUUUCAUCUAUAUGAAUUUGAAGAGAUAAAAAGUGUGUUAAUAUUAUAUAUAUAUAUAUAUGUGGUAAGAAAGUAUUGACUUAGAUGGUAUUUGAAAUAUGACGUGGAUUAUAUUUAGACAAUACAUUGUGAAAUAUUAAUAUAGUGGCAUCACAGAUUGCUAUCUACCUAUUUAUACCUCUCUUACUCAACAGUACACUUCUUAUUGAUGAAAUUUUAUUUUAUGAAAGUAGUAAGAAAGUGCAUAAUGAUGAUGAUAUUGAUCAGUUAAGAGUCUUGUCCUCUCUUUGCACAUCAGUAGCUUCCCCAACAUAUCCUCCUCCAUGUCCACCGUGACCACCGCCGUGACCACCAUUUCCGGGGUAACCACCACCAUGACCUCCAUUUCCGGGGUAACCACCACCAUGACCAUAAUUACCACCGCCGUGGCCAUAAUUACCACCGCCAUUGCCAUAAUUACCACCACCAUGACCAUAGUUACCACCACCAUUGCCGUAACUACCACCGCCAUUGCCGUAGUUACCACCACCAUUACCACCGUGACCGUAAUUACCGCCACCAUGACCAUAAUUACCACCGCCAUUGCCGUAAUUACCGCCACCAUUACUACCGUGACCAUAAUUACCACCACCAUGACCAUAAUUACCACCACCAUUGCCGUAAUUACCGCCACCAUUACCACCGUGACCGUAAUUACCACCGCCAUUGCCGUAAUUACCACCACCGUGACCGUAGUUACCACCGCCGUUACUAGGGUAACCACCACCAUUGCCGUAAUUACCACCACCAUUAAAUCCAUCAUAAUUGGCAUCAGUUACUUCAUUUUUCUUUUCAGCAACAUCUGCAAAAACAUUGUAAGAGAGGUUAAAAGGCGUUAAUAUUAGCUAUAUAAGCAAAAUUAUAUCAGUAAUGGUAUUGUGAUAAGAAUUAAAACAUAAUAUUAUCACACUAAUUUUGAGCGGUUAUUAAGUGUUUAAAUCACUAAUCAUUACCAUUCAUCUAUCAUUUACUUUAUUGUUGUUUUUAACGUUAAAUCCAAUAUUUAUUUUGUCAACGAAGCCAUAUAUAAAGUCAAGGGAGAUUAAUUUUCUAUACAUUAACAGUAUGAAUCUUUUUACAGACUCAUCUAAUCAAAUCAUAUUAUGAAACUACUUUGUUAUAUUAAUUUUUUAAAUAUUUUUACAAAUAUCUAUAUGACAAAAUUUGAUCGGAUAUAUCUAUAAAAAAAAGUGUACACUCUUUGUGCUGAAAAACUUAUAUCUUGACAAUAAUACAUUUGUCAAUUUAUUUCAGAAUGAGAAAUAAGUAUACAAUAAGUUAUUUAUGUAAAUAUUAAUGACUUACGCGGUACAUUAAAAAAUUAAUAUUAUUUAAAAAUAUCAAAAUUAGAUCGUCAUUUUAGUACUUCAAUGACAUGUUAUUCAUAUAUCAAAACUUCAAUUUAGUUCAUUUUAAUACAUAUUAUAGUAAUGUUUACGUGAACAAAUUAAAGAAUAUUAUUAGUUAAAAAGUUUAUAGAAUCUUAUACAUACUAUAUUUUUUAUUAUACCGUAGAACUUGUCAUAAAUAUUUUAAUUUUCCUCGUUAUCAAUAAAAUUUAGAAAAAUUCUAUUGAACAAUCAUUAAUCUGACAUGUACUAGUACAUUUGAUAGUUAAGUUAAUAGCUAAAUAAUUUUUCUUUUGAAUUAAAAUUAUUUUUAUUAUUUAGCAAAUUAUAAUCACUAAAAAUUAUUUAUCAAAAUUGUCGGCAAAAUAAAUAAUUAAAUUUUUUCAUAGAAUUUUUAUAAUAAUGAGUAUUUAAUAUUUUUUACAAUACAAUGUAAAAACUUAAUUUAAUGCUUAUAAUAAUGAACUAAUUGUUUUUCUUAUAAAAUAAAAUUUCCUUAAAUAUAAAAGUGAAUAAAUAGCUCUAUGAUUUAUAAGAAUCAUCGUUAAUUAUUAAUUUAAAGAAUGAAUAUUUCAAAACCCUUUAAUUUGUGAAUACAGAAUAAAAAUUCUCUAAAAACUUAUGAAUUUCAUUAGUACAUGUAAUAUAAUCUUAAACGGUAUUCAUAACAAAACUAAGAUAGUAUAUAUGUUUUUCUCUCUUCCGUAAUAUAUAUAUAUAUAUAUAUUGUGUGUGGUGUAUACAUGGAAGAUUAUAAAAGUUAUAUCAAUUUUAAUAAUGUUUAAUUGUAAACACAUAUUACAUAAUCAUCUAGAAAAUAAUACGAACUACAUAUAAAAUUAUAAUGAAAAUGUAUACAAAGAAAAAUGAUAUAUAACUCACCCUUUUCGGUAUUAGAGGAAAUCUCUGUUAAGUCCCUAGCUGAGACCUCAAAGGAAAUCAUAAGAACCAUAGCCAAAAGGCCAAGGAUGAGGGUUGUUUUUUUCAAAUCCAUUGUUCAAUAUUUGGUAGUGAAAUUAAGAUGAGAAAAAUUGUAAGAAAGUGUAGUCUAUAUAUAGUGGAGGGAGAGGUUGGGAUGUAUACGAUACGUAGCUUUACUUGGUGGUUGGGAUGGUAGCUAGUAAGUAUUAAUUAAUUCAAGAAAAUGUUUCAUGUACCCACCACCAUGAAGUGUAUUAUUUUGAAAGUGUAAAAAAUAAAAGAUAAUAUUGUGAUAAGUUGAUAAUGUAUUACAAAGAGAGACAUACAUAAAAUAGAAUGUUAAAUAAGUGUUAUAAAAUAUAAGAUGUAUAUUUACCAUCGUUGUUAAUUUAAUUUUAUCUAAGAAUUACUACUAUCCAAUGAACUAAAAAUAUAAUAAUAUUUUUCUGUUUUAUAAUAAUUGAGUUAUUUUAUGAUUUUAAAUAUAUUAAAAAAUGUAUAAAUAAAAGAAAUAUAUUAUUUUAUCAAAUCUUUAUUAAGGUAUUAUCCAUUUUAUAAAUAUACAAUAAAAAUAUUACAUUGAAAAUAAUAUAAAUAAUAUUGAUUAAAGAUUAUAACUAAAAAAAUACAUUCAAAAUUAUAAAUAAUAAUUUAUCAUAGUAUUUUUUUAAAAUGAAUUGAAAGGUGAGUUACUAAUAUAGAUAUACAUUUCUUCUUGAUGUCCAAAGUGACAUUUUGAGUAGUAAAGGUUGGAGGGUAUAAAUGAAGCAGCAGUUAUGUCACUGCUAUCCAUGUCUACUUGCUAGUUGCUAUUCACCGAAAGGGACAGACAGUAUUAUUGAAAGCAUACUUCUAUAUACUUCAAAAAUUUAAGAUAAAAAUAUAUAUACUAUUUCUGUCUAAUUAUAUAAGUACAAUUUAGAGAAAAAAAUUGUCCUAAAUAAAAAUAAUUUUUUUUAAUUUAUUAAGUUUAUUUAUUACUUUUUUCUAAUAUAUUCCUUAUUAAUCAAAUUUAACAUAUAUAAAUAUAAAAAUUAUUUUAAAAAUAUUAAGAUAUAAAAUAAAUAAAUUUAUUACUUUAUCAAUUUUUUUAAUAAAAAUGAAAAAAUAAUAUAUAAAAGUGAAAAAAUAAUUUAUAUUUAUAUUUAGGGAAGAAGGUAGUUUAAAAACUAAAUAUCUAUGUCAAACAAAAACCAAAUAUGUAUUUUGGUGCGUUUCUUUUUGUUUGCCGCAAGUUUGUGGUUUUAAUUGAAAUUUUUGUCAUUUUUUGACAAAAACCAAAUAUCUAUUUUGGUGUGGCGUUUUAUUUAUUUAUUUUUUGUUGUUGUUGCAAAUUUAUGAUUUUAAUUGAAUUUUUUUUUAUCAUUUUUGGACAUACAACACUCACAGUGAUUUAUUCUGAGAAAAAUUAAGUUUACUGUCUAAAUUUUUUCUAUGAUUAAUAAAUUAUAUAACUGAAAAUAUAAAAUGUCAAAUUAAAUAAAAAUAUUUUAGAAAUAUUAUCUUAUUGAAAUAGGAGAAUAGUUGCUUAUUUUUGCUUAUAUGAUAUUUAAUUUAUAUAUAUAAAUAUAUAUAAGUUAACUUUACUGUUUAAUUAAUAUUAUCUAUAUCACGUCGAGAUUAUUAUUUUUUAUUUUUUAUUAUGAAAAUCAGUUCAUGAUUAAAAAGGUUGGUUAAAUAAAAUUAUCAUUUCUUUUAUUUACCAUAUUUUUUUACUAAAUUUAUUUAUUUAUGUUCCAAUUGCCUUGCUUACAUUUAUGAAUGUCAGAAACACAUUAAUUUGACUUUUUAUUUUAUUUAUAAUAUUUUUUAAUAUCUGUGAAUUAUUGAGUAAAAAUAAUGUGUGAAAUCAUCAAAAAUGAUAUUUUUAUGGACAGAAAGAAUAUUAACCAACAAAUUUUAAUUAUCUCCCCAGUUGAUUUUUUUUAUCAAAAAAAAAAUUAUAAUAUUAGAUUUAGUAAUAGUCUAUAUUUUUCCAAGUUCACUUUUCGAUAAUUUAAAUUUUUUAUGAUUGUAUUUAUUUUUGGUAAAAACUGUAAUAUAUAUCUAAUAUUGAAAAUUUGAAAGAAUUCUGUUACGAAAAUAAAUUGUAUAGAAAAUCCAUCCUUCUAUAUCUAGAGUUAUUUUUGGACUUAUUCUAUAAUUAGGGAUGAAGCCAUAAGUACUAAGUAGUAGUUGUCACUGCCCCUAAUUGAGAUUGAAGCAUUAAAUGUGAUAACAUAGUUGUGAGAAGAAAUCAAAAUACUGGGCAGGUGGUUAGGUGCCCCAAUUAAUUCAUUUCACACAUACUUUGGACAAAUGAGGCAUGAAAUGAAUAUCGACAUUGUUUUACGACAAGAUUCACAAUUGGCGCGCCACAUAACGCUACAAAUUCCACAUCAAUUCUACUUAAGAGACAAUAUCAAUCUUAGAUUGCAUUGCAUUUAAUGAAAUGAGCAUCUCAUUAAACAGUUUAUUUGAGACCCUAAAAUGAUAUAUAUAAUAAUUUAUAUUAGAUUUUUUAAAUAAAAUUUACAGCGGAAAAAAAAAAGUUUAUUUACAAAGAAAUAAAAACUUUUGUAAUUAAUUUAGGAUAUCACGUUUCUCAAAGUACACAUGGAACAAUUCAAAUUUUAUUACUCAAUUAAAAUAAUUUAAUCUCAAUGAACUUAAUUUAACUAUAAAUUCUUAUUUUAAUUCCAAAAACUUACUAGUACUAAGAUUUUCAUAUAAAAUGUCAUUUGUAAUUACAUAACUAAAAUAUAAAUUACAACUCUAAAUUCCUGAUAUCACCUAUCAGAGUGAGGUUUCUCUUAAACUUGAACUUCAAGACUCAUUAACAUGUAAUAACUGCGAUUUCGCAAACGCGGAGUCAAGCCAGUCAAACACAAACAAUGAAGGAGGUGAAUUUCGAAAUCAUGUUAAUAGUAUAAUAUAAGUAAGAAGAACACGCAAACAAUCAUAAUAGACCGUAUCAUAAUCACAUUACGAUAUAUCAAUAUAUUUAAGUAAAUAGUAUCAUAUUAUAACAUCAAAGUCACUAAAGUAAAAUAAUCAUCCCAUUAUAAUAUGCAUCAAUUCAUCUAAGAGUAACUAUUAUUACUUUAGAAACACAUCAAUUACAACAAAACAAUCACAAGGAAAUGCAAUGUUAUGCAUGAGCUUAGACUCUACUUCACAAUGUGGUACUAUUCUAACUCUGAAGUACUUGGUUAGGAGGCUUGAUACUGUGCCACCAUCCCGGUGGACGGAUUCAAAUUGGUCAUGUCCUCAUAGAUCCCCUCAACUCAACCCGAGACACAUAUAUGUGACAGUCGAGGUAAACGUGUGUUGCGUGGUAGCUCCCGGCAUUUGGAGUGCUACCUCCAAGUCACUAAGAAAUUCCCCACCCCAAUACCUCCAAGGUCUAACAAUCUUGUCUUAAGGCUCAAUAGUAGACCGCCACAAUCAGGCUCAUUCAGUUGUACUUCCCCGGAAUCACUAUGGAGUUACUUCAAUAAUCUCAUCACAAAUUCACAGCAUCACUAUCAUUAAUCAUAUCUCAUCACAUAAACUCAUCACAAUUUUAUAGAAUCACUAUCAUCAAUCAUACAUCAUCACAUAAAUUUGUCACAAAUUUAUAACAUUAUUAUUAUUAAUUAUACAUCAUCAUAAUCACAUAAACUUAUUAAAAUGAAUUCAAUUUUUAUUAUCACAUCACAUAAACCCGUCGAAUCAAACAUAUACAUAAAAUUCAUUCGACACUCAAUAUCACAACAAUAUCAAAUAACACACAUUUCACGAGAUUAAAUCAAUCAACACCUUAUAAAUAUUUCUAUUCCACAUUUUAUUCUCACAAUUUCCACAUUUGCACAUUAAUUAAUUUAUCUCUCAAGGGCUACUGCCGUACGUAGCAAGCCCCGGAUGAAUCGUUUGAAAAUACGGUUUUCUCGUUCAUCUCACAAAAUAUUAUACUCAUGAACUCAAACGCUCUAUCACCCCUUACCUUAUUUCGGCGCUUUCACACAUGAAUACGAUUCCACGAGUAAACAGUCUUUGUUCAUUACUCUUUGUCCUUCAAUCGAUCUAACUCGACAGUUUAUGGGUAACGUUAAAAAUAAAUUAUGAGAAAAUACUCUAAAAACUAAAUUCGCAAUUCGGUCAAGGAAAAUUACCAUAAAUUAGAAAAUCAAUCAGUGGCUAAUAAAGCCACUUUUCACACGGUCGUUUUGGCGUUGGUUUCACUCAAAUCGGACUUACGGUGAAGGAGAACGAUGAAAAAAUAAUGAAUUCUACAAACAGAGAAGUCAAAUAUUUUAAAGAGAAAUUGGGGUUGUUAAAAAUCUAGAAAAUUAUAUUUAAUUGACUAGUUAAAUGAAUGAAAUAAAAUAGUCAAAUUUGGGCGAAAAUGGAGAAAGUUUUCUGAAACAGUUAUCAAUCACCGGUAUCAACGAUAGGUUAUUGUUGUGUUUCCUCUAUGGUUUUACCGUGCCCUUCCAACUCCCUUCCCCUUUUUUUGUUUGUUUUAUUUUAUUAACAGUUAGGGUUCACACAUGGGUCAAACUCAUUGGUCCCUUUAUUUAUGUUUUUGUUUUAUUAUUAUUUUUAUUUUGCUAAAACAAAAUUAAUAAUUAUUUAAUCUCCUUUUUAAUAUUACUCCAAACACAUUUUUCCAAAUAUUACUAAUAUUUUAUAAAUUAGAGUAAUUAAAAUAAUCAAUAUAAAAAAAAACGUAUUACUAAUAAUUGAAACUCUCACAUUCAAAAUAAUCUCUACAAUUAUACUUAUUUCUCAAAAUACUCACAUUAUAAUAAUAUCAUCAUAUUAGAAAAUAGUCAAAAUUAUAAAAUAAAUAAAUAUAACAUCAAUAUUUUAUAUUAAUUACUAAAUCAUAAUAAAAAUAUAUAAAAUCACAAUGUCAUAACAAAUAUAUAAAAAUAAACGAAAUCAUACACAAUAUCAAUUAUAUCUCAAGAUAAUUAUUUAUAAAAAAAUAACUAAAAAUAGAAAAUAGUUAUAAGUAAUUGAAAUAUAACUACGUGCAUACUUCACAUCAGUCUAGCGCACAGAAAAAUAUCACAUUAAUUGAGUAUGCGUAUAUACACGUAAAAUCACAUUAAAUCUUUUUCUUUAAAUUAUAUUACACUAAAAUACUAUUAUUUUAAAAAAAAAUAUAUCAAAUGAUAAAAUAUAAUAUUUAUUAUUUAUAUCGCUUAUUUAAUCUAAUAUCUAUAAAACUAAUACAUCAUAGAAAGCACCCAAAUAAUGAAAAUUAUUCCAAAAUUUAUCAACAUAUAUUAAAAAAAAUUAAUUUUAUUUAUUAUUAAGAAGAUAAAUCACUUAUAAAGUAAUUAAAUAUUUUUUUUUGUGAUUUUAUUGUUUUUAAAAAUAUAUAUUUAUUAACUAAUAUUUCAUUUUUUUUUCAAGAGAAUGAUUUACUUCAAGAGAUUGACUUUCAUUAAAGUACAGUAGAUACAUAUUUUAGAAAAUAAAAAUAGAAAACAUUUUUACAAAACAAACUAUCUCUAAGUUACUUUUUUUAUCCCACAAUGAAUGUCACUUUUUCAUUCAAGGCCAACCUAGACUUUGAAAGGCCUGAGUCUGGCCUACGAUUAAUUUUUUUGGUCUAAGUCUGACCUACAGCCUAUCAUAGGGUUUUUUUUUUUUUUUUUUUCUGGUCUGACCUGACCUUUUUAAAAGUCUGGUUUGGCUUGGAAGCCUAUUUAAAAGCCUUAUUCACAUUAAAACAUUUAAAUGUUCUACUCAUACCACAUGAUGCUCUCCACAUAUACCAAUAUCAAUGUACAUAUCUAUAUAUAUUAAACAAAAAAUAAUUUUUUUAACAAAAUAAUUUUAAAAAAAUCUGAAACAAACAUCCUUUAAACUCUAAAAGUUAAUUUUUGAUUUUAGAGAAUAGAUUUUUUUCUGAAACAAACGCACCCAUUAUUACCUCUCAAACAAAUAUAAAACGACUACUGAGUGGUUGACUAAUUAAAUACUACUGAAUAUGGAACAACUACCAAAUAUGGAACGACUACCAAAUAUGGAAUGACUACUGAGUGAUUGCUUAAUUGAUAGAAUUUAAAAUAGGAAAUAUUAUUAUUAAUAUAAUAAUAAAAAAUAACAUUAAUAAAUAAUAAAAUAUAUAUAGGCCGACCUGUCAGGCCUAAUAAGCUUUUUUAUAAGUCUGAGCUUGACCUAUUUAAAUAAAUAGGCUUUUAAAAAUAGUUUGAACAUAGCCUUUUUAUUAAAUAGGUCAGGUCAGGCCAGACCAUAAGUAGGCCAGGCUAUAGGCCCACUACGCAAAAAAUAGUGUUUUACAGUGUCUUUUUUAAGAAAUUUACAGCGCUUUUUCAAAAAAUUAAGCAUUGUAGUAUGUAGCGCUAUAAAAAGAUACAACAGCGCUCUUUAAAAUAAAAAAGUGCAGUAAAUCUCUUCUAAAAAUGUGCUGCUUGUUGUACUAGUUUUACAACGCUUUUUUAAAAAAGCGUUGUAAUAGGUGCAUUGUUAUGCACGUUUUACAACGCUUUUUAAAAUCGAAAAGUGCUGUAAAUCUCUUCUAAAAACGCGUAGUUUGUUGUACUAGUUUUUAUGCACCUAUUACAACACUUUUAUUGAAAAAGCACUGUAAUAGGUGCAUUCUUAUGCACGUUUUACAGCGCUUUUAAAAAAAAAAACGCUGUAAUAGGUGCAUUCUUAUGCAAGUUUUACAACGUUUUUUCAAAAAAGCGUUAUAAUAGGUGCAUUCUUAUUCUAUUUUUAUUAAAAAAAACGCUGUAAAUAGUAUUUUUAAAAUAAUGCUUGUUUGUAUAAACAAGUUUUUUAUGGUUUUUUUAUUUAUUUAAAAAAAGCGUUGUCUUUUAAUUUUCUCCAAAAUCAUUUUCAUCAAGCAAUCAGUUUGCAAUCAGUUUUCAUCCAACAAUCAUUUUCACAACAACAAAACUACAUAACUUUAUAACUUUACAUAUUGACACAAUCAGUUCACAACAAACUUGUAACAUUAUAUAUUAACACAAUCAGUUUAUAAACAGCACAUGAUAUUGACACAAUUACAUUUUUUUUACAUUUACAUAUUCACAAAAGCACAAAACUAUAUAACUUUACAUAUUUACAACAGAACCUUGCAACACGACACAUAUUUUUUACAUUUACAUAUUCACAACCUUGCAGCAUGCCAAUUUCUCAGCAAAUCAAAUAAUUUUCAUUUCGAUCACAUACUUACAUUAGUCUUCCUUUAUUUCAGUUAGAUCUCUUUCAGAUUAUGUUGGACUGAAAUUGUCAAAGUACUGUGCGAUAUAAAAUUUGAACAUAAAUAAGUUAUAAUCAAAUAUAUACAUAGUUUAUAUAUGAAAAUCAAAAUAUAAUGAAAAUACCGUACCGUUUCUAGGAUUAUAGUUUGAUUCAUAUCAACAAUCUCCUUCAUGAAUCGCAAUAUAUAGUACCUGCAGUCUAUGUUGUUAGUUUGACGAUGGCACUAUAAAACAAAACAUAUAAAUCAAUAAAUAUUUGUGAAUUGAUUGUUAAUGAAAUUUGAAAGGCAUAUAUUUUAAACAUGUAUUGGAAUCCAUGUGAUGUUAUUUGACUUUUGCUUCGACACUGUAGUUCCCCUUUGAGCUCGGAAAUAAAUGAAUGAAUAUUAUUUAAGUGUCGAAUAUAGUCUUUAUAUCCGAGUGAUUGCUGUAAUGGUCGUGCAAGGGGUCUAAAUAGUAUAUAACUUCAGAGGUCGCAUUGAUUGCAAACAGCACCCAAUGUGCCCUACAACAACAAAAAUUUAGUUGGCAAUUUUGUUUACACAACUAAUAAAUUAAGAUCUCAUAAAUUAAAAAAGAUAUAAAUAAAGAAUAUAUAAUUACCCUGAAUUAUAUGGCGCAAAGAACAACUUAUCAUUCUCUUUAUUUCCCAAUAGGAUAUCUACAACAUAUUUCUUUAUGUUAACUAGAUGGAGUUUAAACAUUGAAAGCUUAUUCGGAGACAAGAAUAAAAAUCUAUCUGACAAUUUGCGCGUGCACACCAACUUCUCAUACAAAAAUCUUUAAUAAAAAUAUCAAAUUAGAUCAAUUACCAAUAAAUGCAAUUAAAAGUAAAUUUUAUAUUAAAUAAAGUAUUUUACCUACUGUAUAAGAUGAUGACAGUAGCGUUCAGCUCCUUAUGAUUGAGAAGUUCAUAUAUGUGUUCUUUUUCAAGUAGUUCUUCAUACUAAUCCCCGAAAAUAGCUUUCUCCAUACUUAUGAUACGUGAAUCGUUGUUGUCCAUAUUUGUUUUUGGUUGUAUGUCAAGACACGAUUCAAAUCGAGCAAGGCGUGGAUGACUCAUUUUAAGAGCAGCAACUGAUUUACCCCGAUCUAAUUUUUGAAUUUUGGAAACUUUAUUACCCUCCAAAUUUUGAAGUUUGCCAGCUUUAUUUUUCCAAGAACAUCUAGCUGUGGUGCGGCUUUAUUCUGGCAGGUUUGCUGUGCAAGAACAUCUAGCUGUGGUACAACUUUAUUUUGGCAGGUUUGUUGUGCGGGUGAUUUUGAUUGAAUCUGAAAAAAUGAGGCUAAUCAGUUUGUUAGUUAAUUGAAUCUGGAAAAAAAUGACAAACAUGUCAUACUAAAUGUGACAAACCUUUUCCGGUGACGUGAUUGACUCGUUGCGGGGAAUCUUCUUGUCAUUCCCUUUAGACUUUGUAUGAAUCUAAAUAAAUGUGAAAUUAAAGUUAACAGCGGAAAAAAUCAGCAAUUAAAUAUAAUCAAUCAUAACCAUAUAUCGUGCAAUUACAUAUACAUAUCAAUUAAACAUACAUUUCAAUUAAACAUAUCUUAUUAAGGGCAACAAGAUUUUUGGGCUAUGCCACGUAACUACCUAUUGCUUCUCUCAAAUACUUCAUAUCUCCAUCGUUGUCCGGUAUAGACAACAGUGCAUUUGGUUCAAAAGCAAUCAUCGAUGAUACUUUGACAUGGCCGGUAGGGAUGAGAGUGUUGUGCAAUACUUCUCCCAAAGUAUUGUACAAUGUUCCUUUUCCAACCUUGCAAUGAGUAGGCGAGGAUAAAUAUAGCAAGCAAGUAGAUACACCCUAAAUCAAUGGUUAAUACAUAAGUAUGUGAAACAAUUAGGUUGAAUGAAUUUUUUAUUUUAUUAACUAAUUAAUUACCUCGGGAAGACUUUUAAGAGCAAUGUUGCAACUAGUGUUUUCACUCUCCAUUUGUAUUUAACGUUGGAGCUGAUCCAAAAGUUUUUUUUCUUUAUUCGUCUUCACCAAGAAUGCCACUUGCUCUGUUAGGACUUUGAGCUUCUCUUUGGAGCUCCAACAUUCAUAUUUCCACCACGAUCUCUUAUGUAGCAGUUUGACAGAUGAGAUCUAAAUUCCCGGUGUCUCUUUUCGGCAACUCUAAGCACAUAAGUUUUUCUCACCUUAUCAACAUCAAAAGCAGACUGCAAACCAAAUAAAGAUAUAGUUUGAGUAAAGUAUUUAAAUGGAAAAAAUUGUAAGUAACAAAAAAGUGGAGUAAAAAAGUUACUUUUAUAUCAUUUCACAGUAUAUCUUUUGCAUCCUUCAAAGCAUUUUCUCUCAUAUCGUCAAUUGUAAUUGGAAUAUUCUGACGAACAACAACACCAAUAUAACUUACCAACAUGAAACUUUUGGGCUCAAUUGGUUGGCCACUUUCAUUCCAUCCCACCUAAUAAACUCAUAUAGUAAGUACAUGCUUUCAAAAAAGAUAAAAAAUAAACAGCAAGCAAAGUAUAGUAUACCUCAAAUUUUAUGCCAUUACUUCUUACUUUUAUGACAUUUUGUAUAAUGGUGGCACCACAUUUAAUUUCAUUUUCAUAAGUCUUAAUGUUGACAACUUCCUCAUUUUGACGACCCAAAGCCUUGUUAGAAUCCAUUUAUCUACAACAAGUUGAACAUGCAGUUCAGUAUAACUUCAACAUGCAGUAGUCUAAGUACGUAGCAGUAUAAGUUCAACAUGCAUUUUAGUGACAACAAAAAAUUAAUAAAUACAAUACCUGAAGAGUGCAAAGAAAUAUGUAGGGUUUGUAGGGUUACAACAUUGUUUAAGAAGGAACAACGAGAAUGCGCAGAAAUACGAACGGUUCAUAGGACAUAGUAGGGUUCGCAUAAAGACGUAAUGAGGGUUACAUAUUUCAACGAGAAGAGUAGGUAAUAAUGCUCGUAGGGAUAGUAACAAAGAUGGAGAUGGUUGACAAUACGGUUCGUAGGGAUAGUAGGGUUCGCAAUGAAGAAGAAACUGAAGAGGAGGAGGACACUGAAGCGUAGUGAAGUUUACGUAAUGAAGAGGAAAUUGAAGCGGUUUACUGUUAUAUACAAAACUCUAUUAAAGCGCUUUUUUGAAACAACGCUGUAAAAGACCUCCUUAUUUUAUUUUUUAAAAGCCUGUUACAUCACUUUUUUAGAAGCCUUUUAAAGCGCUUGUCCAAAAGCGUUGUAAAAGACCUCAUUAUUUUAUUUUUUAAAAGCCUUUUACAUCGCUUUUCUAAAGAGCGCUUUAAAAGACCUCUUUGUUUUCUUAUGUAACAGACCGCUGUAUUUUUAAAAGUCUUUUACAGCGCUUUUGCAACAUGCGCUUUAAAAGACCUCCUUAUUUUAUUUUUAAAAGCCUUUUACAACGCUUUUGAAACAAACACUUUAAAAGACCUUUUUAACUUAGUAUAAAAUUAAACACUUAAAUUACAGUUCAAUCUAAAUACUAAAAUGCUCAAUUCUGGCAGAUCAAAUAAUUAAAUUACAUGAACUCAAUUCAGAUUACAUGGCUUAUAUAAAACAAUUAAAAACAUUAAGAUUCCCUUCUUCUUUUCUUGGUGGGAUUCACAUUUGUUUGUCUAUUAACGAUACGAAACGAUGGAUUAAUCCAAAUUCCCUCAUCAUGAUCAUCUCUAAAAUAUAAACCAUCUUUAGUUGAAUCAAUUUCAUGUGGUUGUGUGGUUGUAAAGAAAAGAUCAUUACCAAUAUCUUCAUCAUUAUUGUUAUCAUCAUUUAUCAUCAGCAGGAUCAAUGACAUAAAACAAUUGUUGAGCUUGCGACGCUAAAAUAAAAGGCUCAUAUUUGUAUCCCACCCUAUUAAAAUCGACAAGCAAGAAUCUUGACUCAUCAAUCCAAACACCAUUAUUAUUAUUGACCCACUUGCAACCAAAUAUAGGAACACGAAACGUUGUGUAGUCUAACUCUCAUAUGCACCCGAUAACCCCAAAAUAUGAUAGAUUUGCAUAUAUUAGAAUUUUGUCUUUUGCACUUGAGAUAUGCAUCACUUGAGCUACGAGAGUGACUCCGCUAUUUUGCAUAGUGGUUUGACCAUCUUGUUCUUUGGUAUAAAAUGUGUAGCCGUUAAUUACAUAACUGGUGUAGGAAAAGACAUGUAAACUCGAACCAUUUGCUAGCCACCUCAAUCCCUGUGAAAUUGAUCUGGGGUCUAUAUCAAACUUUGACUUUAUGUGAUUAUUUAACCAUGUUAUAGAACUUUGAUUGUGCUUUCGAGUAAUCCAAUUUUGGUUCCUAUUCAUGUUCAAAUUAGAUAACUCAUCCAUGUGUAUUGUAACAUACGGUUGAACCUCAUCGUCAUUGUGCAGAACAUACAAUUGUGCCUACUCCCAUUCUGUCCUUGAUAUAGUCAUUAGUCUCUUUCUAAUUAUCCCUUCUCUUGAUAUUCUUCCUGAAUGACGAGACAUGGGAAGACCUAUGGAUUCAACAUUGGACUGAUAAUUAGUACAAAAUUCAACAGGUUCUUCGACAAUGUACCGUUCAACAAUACAACCUUCUGGUCGACUUCUACUUUUUACGUACCUUUUUAAUAUUUUCAUAAAUCGUUCUAUCGGAUACAUGCUGUAAGAACAGAGGUACGCCUAAGAGAGGGGGGUGAAUUAGGUGUUAGGAGAUUUUCUGGUUUUUAGAGUUUUUGUGGAUUAUUUUUGAGUUUAGGAUUGAUGUAUGUGAAAAUAUAAAUGGCAGAAAAAUAAAGAACACAAUAGAAUUAUCCUGGUUCCCUUUAUGACCAAGGGUACAUCCAAUCCUCUUGCACACCACAAGAGAUUAAUCCACUUGUUGUUAGAAAAUGUACAAUUCCCACCCUGAGAUUUUUUGCUACAAACUUCUAACAAUACUUCAAGAUAGCACACCACUAUCUUAGAUUAAGCUAAUUUAAGAAAGUACUACUUUCUUUUACAAGUGAUACAAUAUGAUUUGGAAUAAGGAUAUAAGAGAGGUAUAAUGAUUUCAAUCCAAUAAUACUUCAAGUACUUUGAGAACUUUUCUGAAUGAUAUGAAAGUGAAAUGCAAGUACUUUGUAAAAAUCAGAAUUUUGUUCAAAGUUGUUCAAGGUUUGAUUUCAAGGAUUGUUAUUUUUUGAUAUGAAGUUAUGGUGUAUUUAUACUCCAUAAACAUCUCUUCAGAUUCGUGGCCAUUGAUCCAAGAGGUUUGAUGAACAAAUACAAUGAUCUAGAACCAUUUCAGAUCUGAAAAAUUGUAUUGCUUCUAGUUGUAUUCGAAUACAGAAUGUAUGUAUUCGAAUACACCUCUUUGUAACGUUCAUAUUUAUUCAAAAUUUUCACCUUGUAUUCGAAUACAUCCUUUAUGUAGUCGAAUACAAAUUCAUGAUUUUUGCCACUAACUUGCUUUGUAUUCGAUUACAGAAGGCUAGUCGAAUACAGAUAAAAAAGUUUUGGCUAUUGACUUAUUUUGUAUUCGACUACAGAAGGUCGUAGUCGAAUACAGAUGCAAAUGUUUUGGCUACUGACUUGUUUUGUAUUCGACUCUAGAAGGUCGUAGUCGAAUACAGAUGCAAAGGUUUUGGCUCCUGACUUGCUUUGUAUUCAUCUACAGCAGGUCGUAGUCGAAUACAGAUGUGAAGCUUUUGCUUAUGACUUGCAUUUGUAUUCGAAUACACCAUGCUGUAUUCGAAUGCACCUUUGUAUUUUGUCAAAAAUAUUAGUUUUAAGACUUUGUUAAUGUAAUUUUGACUUUUGAAAAUACUUUAUAUGCAUAUGUAAAGAAGAAACAUAAUCUAGUUAUGGCUCGUCGAACUUUUUCAGGUAAAAUGGAACGUAUACCUAUUGGUAGCAAAUGCUCCAUUAGAAUAUGACAAUCAUGAAUCUUCAAACCUUUUAACUUGAGGUAUUUCAUACAAACUAAAUUUUUAAUGUUUGAAGAGUAUCCUUCUGGAACUUUAACUUCAUGAAGAAAUUUACAUGAAACAAUUUUUUCCUUGCUAGAUAGAGUAUGAGCGACUAGAGGUAGAUAUGUGCGAUUUUCUUUCUUUACGGGAUCCAAUUCAUUUCUUAUUCCCAUAUCGACCAAGUCCAAUCUUGCAUUGAUGCCAUAUUUAGACUUUCUUGGAACAUUGAGUAACGUACCAAUAACAUUAUCAAAUACAUUUUUUUCAAUAUGCAUCACAUCGAGGAUAUAUAUUAUAUACAAUGACUUCCAAUAUGGCAAUUCAAAGAAAAUUGACUUUUUCUUCCACCCAGUUUUGACCAGCUCUCCCGCAAAAGGUUUGCCAAAUUUAUUAGUCAAACCUUGUAUUUUUUCAAGUAUUUGAUAUCCAGUCGGUGCUAAAGGAGUUUUAUCUUCCUCUGAUUUUCCAUUGAAUGCAUUUCUCCAUCCACGAUACUGAUGACUAUAAGGUAAAAAUCUAUGAUGUCCAAGAAAUACAUUCUUCUUACAAUGUUUCAACCGCAUCCAAUUUAUACUCUCUUCACAUAUAGGACAUGCACACUGACCUUUAAUGCUAUAUCAUGAUUAAUUACCAUAUGCUGGAAAAUCAUUAAUUGUGCCGAACAACAUAGCCCUCAAAUUAAAACAUUCUUUCUUAUACCCAUCAUAAACUUCCACACAUAUCUCCCACAUAUUUUUUAAUUCUUCAAUUAAAGGAGUCAAGUAUAUGUCGAUAUCAUUCUCCGAUUGUUUGGGUCCAGAAAUUAACAGACACAACAUCAUAAACUUAUGCUUGAUACAUAACCAUGGAGGUAGGUUGUAAAUCAACAAAAUCACAAGCCACAUGCUGUGUGAGAUGCUUUGAAGACCAUGUGGAUUCAUUCCAUCAGUAGAAAGUGCAAGUCGUAGAUUUCUUAACUCUAUCUAGAAUUCAGGAUACUCGUGAUCAAUUUUUGUCCAUUGUAGAGAAUCUGCAAGGUGUUGAAACUUUUCAUCUCUAAUUCAUUCAUCUGCAUGUCAUGUCAAGUGUUUUGAAUCUUCUUCACUACGAUACUUGCACCUAAAUCUUGGUAUUAUAGGAAAAUACCACACGACUUUUGUUGCAGUAGAUUAUUUCUUCUUAUAUCGAGAGACAUUGCAUUUCAGACACACCUUUAGUAAUUCAUAUUCGUUUCGAAAUAAAAUGCAAUCGUUAGGACACACAUGAAUCCUUUCGUAACUCAUACCAAUAGAGCACAAAAUUCGUUUAGCCUCGUAGGUUCGACUGGGAAGUUCAUUAUCAUCUGACAAUAUAUCUUUUAAGAGUGUUAUUAAUUAUUUGAAGCUUUUAUUAGACCAUCCACUACUCGCUUUUAAGUUGUAAAACUUUAAUAUCGCCGAUAUUCUUGUGAAUUUAGUACAACCAUUAUAUAAUGGUUUCUCUGCAUCACUCAACAAACUCUCAAACAUUUUAGGACAAUCCCGAAUAUCUUCUUCAAUUGUUUUUGCAAUCUCCUCAACUCGGUCUAGCUCAUAUGCAUCUGUGUCGAAAUCAGUUGAAGCAUAUGUCGAACCAUUCUCAAAAUUAAUGUUUCCUUUUUUCUUUUCUCACCAUGUUUUAUCCAAUAUGUAUAGCUUUGAUCAAUUCCAUGUCAUACUAAAUGUCCUUCCAAUUCAUCUUCUCUAACGCGUUUUCCAAAACAACAUUUUAAACAAGGACAAACGACUAUAUUUGGAUUUUUUGCAUUCUUCACUGCAAACUCAACAAACUCCUUCACUCCAUUUUCAUACUCUUUUGACAAUCGAUUGGCAGACAUCCAUUUCCGGUCCAUUUUAUAUGACCUAUAUAAAUGCAGUUACACAAAUAAUAAGCUACUGAUAACAUUAUACCAAUAUAUAGUACACAUAUCUAAUAUUGAAAAAUGGAAACCAAGGUCCAAGUCUGAUUUCAAAACAGAACAGAUCAACACACUUCAAAAAAGAAUAGAUUUUAUAUGAUUGAUUAUGUAACAAUUUAUUAGUUUUAGUGACAAUAACAAAUUAAUAAAUACAGUACUUGAGACAACGUAUCCAAUUUUUUUGAAAGGAUGAGCAGUAGAUGGGCGCACAAUAGAGGAGAGGAGGGUUCGCAAAGUAAAGGAGAUGAGGGUUCGCAAAGUAAAGGAGAUGAGGGUUCGUAGGGUUAGGACAGUGUAUUAAAUUUGUUUUUAUUUACAUAAAGUAAAUGAUUUUUAUUUAAAGUGAAUGAUUUUACAGUGCUUGUAUAAUAAUAAUAAUUCAUUUAAUUAUGUGAAAGCGAAAGUCUUUUACAACGCUUGUAUAAAAGCGCUCUAAUAGGUCAUUUAAUUAUGUGAAAACGCAAGUCAUUUACAGCGCUUGUCAAAAAAGCGCUUUAAAAGCUAUGUAACAUAAGGUGUGAGCACUAUAUUUUACAGCACUUGUGUUUAAAGCGCUCCAAAAGUGUUGUAAAACAUUAUGUGAGGGCGCUUCAGUUUACAGUGCUUUUAAAAAAACGCUGUAAAAAUCUUAUAAACAUUAUGUGCAAGCACUAUGUGACCCUAUAUGACCCUACAACAACGCUUGUCAAAAAAGUGUUGUUGUAUCCUCUGUUAUUUUUAAAAUAUUAUACAACAUCACUUGUAUUUAAUAAGCACUAUAAAAGACGCGCUAUAAAAUGUCAUUUUUGGCGUAGUAGCCCCUCACGGACGACCUAGCCUAUUCUCAUCCCUAAAGAUAUUAGACAUACUAAAAAAUGACAAUUAAUAAAAGAAAUAAAAAAGUAAAUUAAUUUACAAAAUUAUCUAUGCUGACAAUUUGUAUGUUUCUCAUUAUCACCAUUAUAAAUGUAAAAUGAAAUGCCAUAUUUUGAAAAUAGUGUACAUGCAUAUAGUAUUGAUUAGAAGAUAAAAUUAAAAAAAAUAUAUAUAAUUAAUCUUACAUUGAAUACUAAUAAAUAAUAUUUAUUUUAUAAUAAAUUUUAUUUCUUAAAGUGACACGAGAGAGUAAUUUAUUAUACGUUCUAUAUAUAGUAAAAAAGUAUUGUUUUCUCUUUUUUAUUACUACAUUUAUCUUAUAAUAUGUAAAAUAAUCAAAUAUGUCAUCACUCAUUGUGGAAUGAAGUGAUUAACUUUUAUUAAAAUGUCAUAGAUAAAUUAUUAGGGGUGCAACGAGACAAUCAAUGUUACCAAAUGAAAGAUUAAUUGUUGUUUUUUAAGUUUAUUUUUUAAUUAAUAUAAUGUACGUUAUUCUUAAGUUACAAUGAGAAAAUAAUAUCUAAUGGUAUUGGGUGAUCAGCACUAAAUGAAUAAAACAAGUAUAUGAACCAAUAGAAGUAGGAUUUAUUUAGUAUAUUUGGAUCUCCAAUACAAAACAAAUUAAUUUAAUUCGUUUGGAUUCUAUUAGAUUAUUCAGCUCAUCAGGUUAAUGGUUUGAUUUUUAAAUCUCUAAUUAAAAGAAAAUAAAGUGUACCUAUUUGUUACAAGUUAUUUUUAAAAAUAAUAAUUUUUUCGUAAAUAAACAUCACUUUUAGGAGUUUUUUCAUUUUUUUGGUUAUAAGUAUUGUGCUUGGUGUUUUAAUGAGGCAGAAAUAAAUUGAAAUUUUUUUGGAUGACCCUUGAAGUGUGGCGGUGUGGCAAGGGGUUGGAAUGUGGGAGAUGAUCCAACAUGUAAAAUUGGAAUUUGUUGUUUUUUCUUCGUUUGUUAGAAUUGUAUUAUGUUAAAGGGAUGAGAAUGAGGCCUUGUGUUCCUCAACCCUGUCAUCGGUUCAUGAGAGAGAAACUUUUGGUCUAUAUUAAGAUUUUAGUUUGUGAUAGAUAGUUUUCAUUCCUCAUCAAUUAUUCUAUCCAAAGGGAUUGUAGAAUUUUACUUAGUCUUUAUUUUGACACUUCUCAGGUUGAAUUUUAUAUCCCUCGUUACUAUCAUUAGAUCCUUACAUGUAUUAAAUUUUAUAUUUUUUUGUGAAAUAAAGUAAUUUUAACUAAUGAAGCGAGUUGAACAAAAUAAUAUGACAUGAAACAUGGUAAUAAAAAGGCAAGUUUGGUUUAGUAGACCAUACUUUAUUUAACAAAGUAAGUGGGAAACAAAACAAUACAUAGAUGCAUGUUUCUAGUUUUCAGGGAGGUUCCAAGUUUCUAUAUCCUCAUCCCUUAGGUUUAAUUAUUAUCGUCUUCGUCUCCGUCACCUUCGUCUCCGUCACCAUUGUCUCCGUCGUCGGGAUUUUCUUUAUCGUCUUCGAAGGGUGCCUCACUAUUACCAUUUUCUCCUUCACUAUUAUUGUCUCCUCUUCCCCAUCCCCAUGGUAACCAACCCAAUGCCAAAUCUCUCAAACCUCCCCAAUCUACAUACCUUCUCAUUAAAGUACUAUAUUCGGAUUGCUCAGCUGCCACAAUAGUCAUAAGAAGGGGAACACACAGAAAGAAUACUAAGAUAAAAAAUUUUGUUUUCAUCCUUGCUUAAAUUUCUUAAAGUUUGUUGUAAAAUAUGAAUAAUAUCCUCAAAUAUUUAUAGUGAUCACGCAUGGGAAAAAUAAGAUAAUUUUAAAAGACAAAAACAUAUUGAAGAAAAAUAUAUUGCGUACUAAAAAAAAAGACAAUAUGUAUUCCAUGGCCAAUUGCAAAGACAAUGGGUCAUCAAAAUCCAUAGAGCCAUGGAAAGGUUAAAUAAAUUAGAACAUGUUUGUCUUUUGGAUCAUGAUAAUUUGAGGAUUAAAGAGACGUUUUAUACAAUUAAUCUUUUCUAAAAAGUUGCUUUUGGUUAAAUUGUUUCAGAAAAUAGAAUUUAAAACUAGCGAGUUGUAAAAUUUGGCUUCCUAAUAAAUUUAGGAUAAAAGUGAUGUAAUGUCCAAUUAAUUCUAAAUGAGUGAUUUAUUUUGACUAUUAAAUGUUUUAAUAUUGGAAUAUUAAAUUUUUAGUAUCUAAAAAAUUUUGAAAUUUUAUUUUUAGUACUUAUUAAAAAAAAUUAUAUUUUUUAGUUUCUACAAAAUUGUUAUAUAAGUAGUUUAAUUUAUACCAUAUUGGAACAUCAAUAUAUAUAUAUAUAUAUAUUUGAAUACUUUUUUUUUUUUUGCAUACAUGCUGACAUUAUAAAAAGUUCAACAUAAAAAAUGAUAUCAAAAUUCAAUUUCUAGAUCUAUAUUUUAAAGACUUUUAUCUUAAAUAGACGACGUUUAAUUAAUUCAUCCCAAAUUAAAAAAAAAUUAUAUGAAUUAAUUUUUAAUAAUAUUCUAAACAUGCUUACAAUAUUAUUCAAAUAUUUAAAAGUUGAAGAAUAUUUUAUUUCAUCAGAGACUAAAAUAAUUUGAUUAAUAAUUUUAUAGGAAUUAAAAAAAAUGUAUGCACACAUAAAAAAAUAAAAAAUUAUCAUCUUUAUAUGGGUCUAAGAACACAACUAAAACAAAUCAAACAAUAACUUCUCGUUUUAAUUAUGAGUUAUAUUUGGUAUUUGUAACAUUUUAUUUUAUUUUUACAUCUUACCUUAUUAUGAGUUGAUAUAAUUAUUCUAUAAAUUAUUGGUGAUAAUUAUUAUUGUAAUGUGUUAUUUUAAUUUUUAAUAAUAAUAAUAAUAAUAAUAAUAAUAAUAAUAAUAAUAAUAAUAAAAGGGAAUCGUUAAAAACAAAUUUCAUGAUUUAGAGGCUGUAAAUACACGUUUCCCAUUUAAUAUCACGUUUUCCAUUUAAUACCCUCCCCUUUAAUACACAUCCCCAUUUAAUAGCACACGUUACCCACUUCUAAUGAUAAAAAAUGAAUAAAACAAAACAUAAAAAGAAAUAAAACAAAAAUGGGUUUAAGAGAGAAAAAGAAAUAAAUUCAAGAACUAAAUGAGUUACUGAUUCAUCCCUUAAGUAUAGCACAUUUGGAGCAAAGACUUGGGUGAGAAUUUUAAUAACGCCACUCAUAUCGAUAAGGGCGUGACUCCAUCCGCUUUUCUAAUUGAAUUAUUGUUUGUGUGUUAUAUUCAAAAUGAAUAUUAAUAAUUAUUGUGUUUGACAUGUUCAAAAUGUGGAAAAUAAAUGUUAUGUGAUAUGUUGUUAUAAUGGUUGUGUUGAGCAUAUUCAAAGUGUGAAGAAUAAAUGUUAUGUGAUAUGUUGUUAUAAUGGUUGUGUUGAACAUAUUCAAAGUGUGGAAAAUAAAUGUUAUGUGAUAUGGUGUUAUAAUGUUAUGUCGAACAUAUCCAAAGUGUGAGGAAUAAAUGUUAUGUGAUGUGUCGUUGAUAAGUUAGUAUCCCAUUAUAUUUUAUUAGAGUGUACACGAAGCCCUUGCGGGGGGAAGCGAUAUUCCAGAAUCAUUACAUUGGCAUAUAUAAAUUAAGUAAUAAGGUUUGUUGGAUAUGCAUUAAUUAAAGUGUAGUGUGACUAGUGUUUUGUAACGAUAACUGAUACAUUGUAUCUUCUGGUUUUGGAUGAAUUAACUUUAUAAAAAAUGUGAUAUUGUAUCUCCUGGUUUUAAGUGAAUUAACGUUAUUAAAUAUGUGAUAGUGUACUUCUAUAUCUUAUUAUUAAUUAGGUAGAUAUGAUAAUAUUAUAUUUGUAUUGUCAAUGUGGUUAGUCGUUUGAGUGAAUUAAUGUUAUUAAUUAUGCAAACAUUGUACUGUUAUCUUUUCAUUGUUGUUAUAUCUUUAAUGCGUUGUGAUUUUUAAUUGUUAAAUGGAGUACAUGAUUUAUUUAUAUUUUUGCUAUAACAACUAUAUAUGCAUGCAUAUUUGCUAUGUGUUUGUUAUUUUGAGAUGACCCUUAUAUUUGAUAGGACGUUAUAUAGUGCUAUGUGUUUGUUAUAUUUUCAUUGUUAUUAUACCUUUGGGUGCGUUUUGAUUUUUAACUAUUAAAUGAAGUACAUGAUUUAUUUAUAUUUUUGCUACAACAACUAUAUAUGCAUGCAUAUUUGCUAUGUGUUUGUUAUUCGGAGUUGACCCUUACAUUUGACAGACUUGUUGGGUUAGUUUACCAAAAGUCCAAAGUUUAUGACCAACUGGAUUUAUGUUUGGGUAGUAAAAUAUCAAUAGUUUUGGCUAUAGGAGUCUCUUUUGUUUAACAUAUUAAAUUUACAUUGUAAAUAUUUUGAUUCUUUAUUUUCGAAAAUAUAACUAAAAAUAUUAUUAAUUGAUUUUAAGAUAAAUGAGUAUUUAAAAUAAUUAUAAAUAAAUAAAAGCAAAUUUGUAUUUUUACGUAUAGAAUUCCGUUAGUUAAUGUCCCGAAAAAGCGGGAUGUUACAGUGUUGGUUAGCAUCCUUCUAAUCAGCUGUUGGGGAAUUCCUUGUGCCUUCAUUUUAUUGAAUGGAUUUUUCUUUGUCCGAAGAAGAACAAACCAUUGUGGAGUGUUUGCCGUUAUAAACAAUUAUUAAAAUAGAGUAAUAUUAAUGGAAAUGCACAAUUGCUCCUGCGAUCCCUUAACUUAAUUUUAGAUAACACUUUAAUUUUUUUUAAAUGGUCUUUUAUUUAAUAUUAUUACAAAAAUUCGAAAAUAUAAAGAAUGAAAAUAUGAGUUUAUUUAAAGAUUUAAGUUAUUUCAUCGACGUUGUUUCCAUAAACUAUGAUCUCAUCAACAUAUAUCACUAAGGCAGUAAAGGACGAGCAAAUGGAUUUAAUGAAUAAAGAAUGAUAUGAAUUAGAUUGAGUAUACUCUUUUGAAAUGAGAGUGGAGGAAAGUCUAGCAAACCAUUGCUUACUAGACUAUUUUAAACCAUAAAGAGGUUUUUGAAGUUUACAAACAAUAUUUGGAUUAUGAGCCAAUAACCCAAGGAACAAUUGCAUAUAGACUUCCUCUUCUAAAUUGCCAUGUAAAAAAGCAUUGUAAACGUCUAACUUAUGAAAAUGUCAAUUAUGAGAUGAUACAAGAGCAAGUAAGAGUCUUACGAUAAUGAGCUUAGCUAAAGUGAAUAAGUAUCAAAAUAAUCAAUUCCUUCAAUUUGGUUAAAACAUUUGGCAACAAGGCGUGCCUUAUAAUGUAUUAUAGAACCGUAAGCGUUAUAUUUUACCUUAUAAACCCAUCGACAACCUAAGGGCUUUUUAACACGUGGCAACUUAGUAAGAGUCCAAGUGUUGACUGAUCGAGGGUUGUUAGAUGAGAUUGCAUGGUCUGAACCUAAUUAUUAUAUGUGACAACUUGUUUAAAGCUAGUAGGGUCACGAACAACAGAAAUAAAGGAAAUAAAAUGAUAGAAAAAAAUAUGACAAUUUUGACUAAGAUAAGACCUGGUAUAAAUGAUACAAUAUAUUGGACUUAUGGCACCUAUCAUGUGCAAAAUUUCACUCAAAAUCUUGUAAGUAAGCAGGGACCUUGUUAGACCUUGAAGACCUACGAAUAGUAUCUUGAUGCUCAUCAAAAUCAAAGAUAGGGGAAGUAUGUAAAUUGUUAGGACUAGUAUCAAGACUAGAUGAAGGAGUUGGAGCAAAUAUAAUACUAUCAUCAGUGGAGUUAUUAACAUAAACAAUUAUUAGGCUAAAGCAUAUUAGUAUCAUCAAACAGAAUAAAGGAAUCACCAGAAUCAUCAUUAAUAUGCAAGGAAGUAGAAUUAAGAUUAACAUAUGGAAAAACAUGUUCAUAAAAAUCUACAUUCCUAGAAACAAAGGUGACAUGGGUAUGUAAAUCAAACAUCAAUUAACCUUUAGUUCCUUAUCUAAAUCCAAGGAAAAUACACUUGGGGGCCCUUUGAUAAAGUUUAGUUCUAUGAUAUAGCAAAGUGGAAGCAUAAGCAAGACAUCAAAAAACCUUUAAAUACAUAAAGUUAGGAGAUUGUUUAUAUAACAUUUCGAAAGGGGUCUUAUUAUGUAAAACAGGAGGUAGUUAACCUGUUAAUAAGAACAACAUGAUUAAUAGCAAAAGACAAAAAAUUCUUUGGUAGUUUAGAGUGGAAAAUAAGUGAUCUAGUCACAUUAAGAAGAUGAGGAUGUUUCCUUUCAACAAUUAAGUUUUAUUGGGGUGUCUCAACACAAGAGGUUUGAUGCAAUAUGCUCACACUAGAAUAAAAAAGAGGCAUAUUGAAUUCAAGACCAUUAUCAUUGCUAAUUUUCUAGACUUUUGUAUGGAAUUGUGUUCUAACAAAGGAAACAAAGUUUUGAAGGAGCAUACGAGUUUCAGAUUUAGCAUUCAUUAAAAAUAACCAAGAAAAUCAUGAAUAAUCGUCAACAAUAGUUGGAUAAUAUUGAUGACCCUCAAAAGAAGGAACAUUAAUAGGUCCUCAAAUAUCAACAUGUAUAAGGCUAAAAAUAUGUAAAGAAACAUUUUCACUACGGGGAAAAGGGAUUUUAGCAUUUUUUGCCCAAAUAAAAAGAGUCACAAAUUAUAUUUUUAUUAACUGAAAUGUAAGAAAAUCGUUUACACGUUUGUUGUAACAGGGUUAUUGAUGGAUGGACCUAACCUAAAAUGUAAAACAUCAAAUUUAUUUGGUAUAGUGGCAUUAACAAAGGUAGUAUAAUGGUCAUUAGAAACAAGAGCAAAAUCAGUAGAAAAAACCAUAGCAGAGGUAUAAUAUGAUCAAGAAUAUACAGGCUAUUACAAUGCUCCACAUGUCAAAUCGUCUUAUGGGUAUGCAAAUCCUGAAUUGUAUAAAAAUUCUUAGAAAAUAAUAGUUUGUAAUUCAAAUCAAGAGUGAGUUUUGAAAUAGAUAUUAAACUAAAAUUGAAUUGAUGAAUAAACAACCUAUUUUUCAAGUAAAGAUCAGAAGUAAAGUAAAAAUCUUCUAAAAAAUGCGCAAGAAUAAACGACCCAUUUGAAAAAAUAAUAAAAAUUGGUUCAAUUUGUUUCAUUGAAUAAAAACAUUUGAUAAAUGGACCAACAUGAUCUGAAGCCCCCGAAUCCAUAAUCCAUAGAGAAAAAGGAAUAGAUACGAAACUUGUAUUAGAAAUACUUGAUACUACGUGAUUGGAUUGAUCUGAAAUAGAAUUCUUGGUUUUGAAAGAAGUUACAUCAUCAUAUUUAGAAUUGUGUAGCAGAUUAAUCAUAAUAUUAUAAUAUGUUUUGCUAAGAUGAUUGUUGAUUGUUGGAAUCGUGUUGCUGUGUAGGCUAGGAGAGAGAAGGAUUCUUGGAACCAUUUAUUGAAGACGAAUUCAAAGAUUGUUUUUUAGGAUAAGUUAGUUGAAAGCCAUGUUUGAAAUAACAUAUGUCUACAAUGUGAUUAUUCUUAUGGCAUCGAGUAUAAAACAUGGAGGGCCGAGGCUGACCACGACGAUGAUGGUAUUGCCCGCGACCUUGACCUGAAUUUUUGGAAGUAUUGAUAUUAAAAACAACAUAAGUAUCAGGAGGAUUAUGGUUCGAAUUGGGGACCAGGUCUUAUUGAAAAACGAAAGAAUACACCUUGUUAAUAUAAGGUAAAGGAUCCAUGAAUAAAAUCUGUGUGUGAAUGUUAUUGUAAUUUUUAUUCAAACCUUUAAGAAAACAAGUGAUAUACUCUUGAUGCUUGAAAUAAUGAACUGUUGUGCUGAGCUUGCAAGAACGAGGAAUAGGGCAUAUGCAUGAUUGUGUUGGGCACAAAUCCUCCAAUUCACCCCAAAGAAUCUUCACAUUGGUGAAAUAGGUAGACAAAGAAUGUUCACCUUGUUUGAUUGAAUGAAGAUCACGAAUUAGAUUGGAAAAUCGAAAAUUAUUUCCUUGAAUGAAACGAUCACGAAGAUCAUACCAUAACUCUAAUGCUGAAUCAAUGCAAAUGGAGAACGUUAAAAACUCAAUAUUGAUUUUGGUUGUGAAAACGGAGAACAUCCUUGGUUCUGGAAACAUAAAAUGGAGAACAUUCUAGGUUAAUUAAAAUCAAUAGUUUAGUUUAUAUGUUUAACUUGAUAAACAAAAGGACUGAAAGUAAAUAGAGAUAAGAGGAUAGAUAUCACACAAUGAUAUAUCUUAGUUCACCUAACUCGGGCUAUGUUCAGUCCUUACAAUUGUGAUAUUUUCCACUAAGCAUUCCAAUGGAGAACGUUCUUAGUUUUACACAGUUUUGUUCAGAUUAACCUUGAUAUGUAACAACAAUUCAUUUUCACUUAGAAAGGAUUCAAUUAGGUCACUUAUCAAUCUUUAGAGAGGAUUUUACAAUUCACCUUUUAACCAUAAAAAUGAUUUUCUACAAACUAUAAACAACUAUUAUAGUCUUGAGUUUACACAAUAAUGAUUUAAAGAGAUUGGUAGAAUCUGACUAUGUUUAAAUCGUGUUUGAGAAUACAUUCUUGAUAAAAGAAAUCAAUAUAACGGUUCUGAUAUUUAAAGAAGAAAACAUAACUUAAUCUUUUGCUUAUGAUUGAGAAGCUUUCAAGUAUAUAAGUGUAUGUAAGUGAUGGAUUUCUUAACACUUGAAGUUCUAUUUUUCCUUGAACUUGAGGUUCUUUUUAUAGGCUUCAAGGAGGAUGAUGACAACUACUUUGACCUUUGGAAAAUAUCUAGCUGUCAUGUGUCAGAUUUGACAAAAUUCCAUAACUUUUAAACCAUGAAUGUUUCUUGACUAGCUUCUCAUUCUUGACCGUGAUUCAUGGUCUUUUAUGCUCAUAGACAUCUCAAAGAUGUGUUUAAUGUAUUAAGAUCGAGAAUGUCUUUGGUUCGAUCAAAACAAGCUAGAGAAGGAUGUACACAUGUUGGAGAUUGAUUGUUAAUAUGCUGGAUAAUGAUGUUAUUUGUAACAUCCCGCGGUUUCGAGACAUUAACUAACAAAAUUCUAAACGUAAAAAUACAAAUUCGUUUUUAUUUAUUUAUGAUUAUCUUAAAUACUCAUUUACCUUAAUAUCAAUUAAUAAUAUUUUUAGUUAUAUUUUCAAAAAUAAUGAAUCAAAGUAUUUACAAUCACUAAAAGUAAAUUUAAUACAUUAAACAAAAGAAACUCAUAGAGGCAAAACUAUUGAUGUUUUACUACCCAAGCAUAAAUCCUAGUUGGUAAUAAACUUUGGAGUUGUGGAAAACUCACCCAAUAAAUCUAACACACCACACAUCUAUAUAUGAAUGAACGCAUGUGGACACUUUAAUAAAUCAUUAAUAUAAUGCAAGGUUAACUUAUUAACGGACAUAACAUUUAUUCUUCACACUUUGAAUAUGUUCAACACACCCAUUAUAACAACAUAUCACAUAACAUUAUUUUUCACACUUUGAAUAUGUUCAACAUAACCAUUAUAAUAACAUAUCACACCAUAUUUAUUUUCUACAAUUUGAUAAAAAAAAACAUUUCAACAUAGUAUAUAUUUAAUCUAACAAAUUUAUGAAUAAACACAAUCAUACAUAAAUAUAAUUGGAGUGAUGGCCUUACCGAUUUGAGUGUCGUUGCUCCAAAUGUGCUACAUUUGAGCUAUGAAUCACUAACUCAUUUAGUUCUUGUAUUUCUUCCUUUACCUCUCUUAAACCAGCAUUUUUGAAUGGAAGACGUCAUUGUUGUUUAGUUCCUUAUUAUCGUUAGAAGUGGGGAACUUGGUAUUAAAUGGGGAGCGUGGUAUUCCAGCAUAAGCCAUCAAAUUUAUUUUUAAUUAAUGGUUCCCUUUUAUUAUUAUUAUUAUUAUUAUUAUUAUUAUUAUUAUUAUUAUUAUUAUUAUUAUUGUUAUUAUUAUUAUUGUUAUUAUUAUUAUUAAUAUUAAUAUUAUUACCAAAAAUCAAAAUAACACAAUACAAUAGUAAUUAUCACCAACAAAUUCCUAGAAUAAUUAUCUCAAAUUCUAAUAAGGUAAAAUAUAAAAAUUAAAUAAAAUGUCUAGAUGUUAUAUGUUAGAGAGUCAAACAUUUGUGAUAACUUUCCACGAAUAUAUCAAACGUGUCAUGUAACACCCCAAAUUUUAUAAUAAACUAUUUUAUUAAUUAAAUAAGAUUUUAAAUAAUUAAUUUGACGUUAAACUUAUUUUAUAAUAUAUGUUGAUUUUCGUGCUAGUUUUGAGAUAAUUUCUACGAUGUGCUAGUUUUAUAAAUAUUAUAUUAAAUGAGCGAUAUAAAUAAUAAAUAUUAUAUUUUAUUAUUUGAUUUUUUUUUAAAAUAAUAGUAUUUUAGUGUAAUAUUUUAAAGAAAAAGAUUUUAUGCGAUUUUAUGUGUAUAUACCUGUACUCAAUUAAUGUAAUAUUUUUCUGUGCGCUUGAAUGAUGUUAAGUACGCACGUAGUUAUAUUUUAAUUAUUUAUAACUAUUUUCUAUUUUUAGUUAUUUAUUUUAUAAAUAAUUAUCUUGAGAUAGUAGUAAAUUGUAUUUAAUCUUGAUUUUUAUAUACUUGUUAUGGCAUUAUGAUUUUAUAUUUAUUUAUUUUAUAAUUUUAAAUAUUUUCUAACGUAGUAAUUUAAUGUAAGUAUUUGAAAAAAUAAGUAUAAUUAUAGUGAUUAAUUUGAAUAUGAGAGUUUUGGUUAUGAAUAUAUUUUAAAAUAAUAAUUAUUUUAUUUUAUAAAUUAUUAGUUUUGAAAUAUUAAUAAUAUUUUACUAAUAAAAUUAUGUUUUAUAAAUUCAUACACACUAUGUUUUUUAUUAUACCAUAGAACUUGUCAUAAAUUUUUUAAUUUUCAUUGCCUCUAAUAAAAUUUAGAAAAAUUCUAUUGAACAUUCAUUAAUCUGACAUCUACUAAUACAUUUGAUAGUUAAUUCUAUUGAACAUUUAUUUAUUAAUCUGACAUCUACUAAUACAUUUGAUAGUUAAGUUAAUAGUUAAAUAAUUUUUUUUUGAAUCAAAACUAUUUUUAUUAUUUAGCAAAUCAUAAUCACUAAAAGUUAUUUAUCAAAAUUGUCGGCAAAAUAAAAAUUAAUUUUUUUCAUUGAAUUUUUAUAACUCAUAAUAAUGAGUAUUUAAUAUUUUUUACAAUAUAAUGUAAAAACUUAAUUUAAUGCUUAUAAUAAUGAACUAAUUGUUUUUCUUAUAAAAUAAUUUUUCCUAAAAUAUAAAAGUGAAUAAAUAGCUCUUUGAUUAAUAAAAAUGAUCGUUAAUUAUUAAUUUAAAGAACAAAUAUUUUGUGUGUGGUGUAUUAUAAAAGUUAUAUCAAUUUUGAUAAUGUUAAAUUGUAAACACAUAUUACAUAAUCAUUUAGAAAAUAAUACAAACUACAUAUAAAAUUAUAAUGAAAAUGUAUACAAAGAAAAAAUGAUAUAUAACUCACCCUUUUCGGUAUUAGAGGAAGUCUCCAUUAAGUCCCUAGCUGAGACCUCAAAGGAGAUCAUAAGAACCAUAGCCAAAAGGCCAAGGAUGAGGGUUGUUUUUUUUCAAAUCCAUUGUUCAAUAUUUGGUAGUCAAAUUAAGAUGAGAAAAAUGGUAAGAAAGUGUAGUCUAUAUAUAGUGGAGGGAGAGGUUGAGAAAAAUUGUUUAAUAUGUGUCAAAUAUUGAGUAAAUAUAAUGUGUGAAAUCAUCAAAAAUGAUAUUUAUAUGGACAGAAAGAAUAUUAACCAACAAAUUUUAUCUCCCCAAUUGAUUUUUUUUAUCAAAAAAAAAAAAUUAUAAUAUUAGAUUUAUUAAUAGUGUAUAUUUUUCCAUGUUUACAUUUCGAUAAUUUAUAUUUUUUAUGAUUGUAUUUAUUUUUGGUAAAAAAAAAUGUAAUAUAUAUCUAAUAUUGAAAAUUUGAAAGAAUUCUGUUACGAAAAUAAAUUGUAUAGAAAAUCCAUCCUUCUAUAUCUAGAGUUAUUUUUGGACUUUUUCUAUAAUUAGGGAUGAAGCCAUAAGUACUAAGUAGUAGUUGUCACUGCCCCUAAUUGAGAUUGAAGCAUUAAAUGUGAUAACAUAGUUGUGAGAAGAAAUCAAAAUACUGGGCAGGUGGAAAUAAACGGUCUGUAGGUUACUUUUUUUUUAUCCCACAAUGAAUGUUACUUUCUCAUUCCACAUAUUAGACAUAUUAAGAAAUGACAAUUAAUAAAUGGAAGAGAAUAGUAAAUUAAUUUACAAAAUUAUCUAUGCGGACAAUUGGUAUGUUUCUCACUAUCACUAUUAUAAAUGUAAAAUGAAAUGUGUAUUUUGGAAAUAGUGUACAUGCAUAUAGUAUUGAUUAGAAGAUAAAAUUAAAAAAAAUAAUUAAUCUUACAUUGAAAACUGAUAAAUAAUAUUUAUUUUAUAAUGAAUUUUAUUUGUUAAAGUGAUACUGAGAGAGUAAUUUAUUCUACAUUCUAUAUAUGGUAAAAAGUAUUGUUUUCUCUAUUUCAUUAAUACAUUUAUUUUAUAAUAUGUAAAAUGAUCAAAAAGGUCAUCACUCAUUGUGGAAUGAAGUGAUUAAUUUUAUAAAAAUGUCAUAGAUAAAUUAUUAGGGGUGCAACAAGACAAUCAAUAUCACCAAAUGAAUGUGUUAUUAUUUUAAUUUUCAAUAAAAAAUUAAUUGUUGUUUUUUAAGUUUAUUUUUAAAUUAAUAUAAUAUACCUUAUUCUUAAGUUACAAUGAGAAAAUAAUGUUACAAUGAGAAAAUAAUAUCUAAUGGUUGGGUGAUGAGUACUAAAUGACAUAAACUAAUUUUCUUGCCUAAAACAAACAUGACAAUUUUAGUGAUAAAAAUUAAUGUAGCGAGUUGAACAAAAUAAUAUGACAUGAAACAUGAUAAUAAAAAGGCAAGUUUAAGUGAAAGAUGGUUCAUCAUAUAACAAAAGACAGGGGCGGAGCUUCCUUGGGACUAAGGGGGGCCGCGCCACCCCAAAAAAAAAAAAUUAUAAGUACAAUGACUAAAAUGUCCAUUUUAAAAUUAAAAAAUUACAAAACAUACCUAAACCUAAUUCAGUUUUCUGUUUAUUUCUCUCUCUUCCAUCCAGCCUUCCUCUCUCCCUCUCUCUCUUUUGCUUACAAGUUCCAGCCUUCCUCUCUCCCUCCUCCAUAAUCAGAUUCAUGAAUCAAGACAAACGUGCGGUCGUCUCUCUACGACAAUCGCUCGUCUGCUCGCUCACGAAAUCGCUCGCUGCGGCCAAUCGUUCGUCUGCCUGACUGCCUCUGUCCGUGGCCAUUCGUCGCUGCCUCUCUACUCGCCGCAACCUCAUCAGUCAUCUGUCUCUAGAUCUUGUUGCUGCUUUGUUCAAAAUGUUCGAAUUUCUAUUUUGUUAUUGCUGAUUUUUGUUAGUUAGUGUCGAUUUUUGUUAGGUUUGAUAUUUUUUAGCAUAAAAUUUAAAACUUAUAUUGUUAUUGUUGAGUUUAGAGUUUUGAUUUGGAGUUUGAAAUUUUGAUUUGGAGUUUUAAUUAGCAGAUUUUUGUUUAGAGUUUUUGUGUUGCACAUAAGGUGUUUGAAUUUAUGUCAGUAUAAAGUGUUUGAGUUUUUUUUUGUCUCACAUAAGGUGUUUGAUUUUAUGUGUUUGAUUUUUUUUUUUGCAUACAAAGUGUUUGAGUUUUGUUGCAUUUUUGUUUGAGUUUUUUUGUCUAUAUAAAGUGUUUUAUUUAUUUUUUUUGAAUAUAAGAUGUUUUAUGUUUAUUAAAUUGAUUGAUUUAGAUAAGUUUGUGAGAAUGAAGAAGAGUAGAAGAAUUGAUUAUUUUUUCAUGAGGAAAAUUUGUGAGAGUGAAUUAUGUCAGCCACUCCAAAUUUUUCAGUCAAGUUCCGCCAUUGACAAUAGAUCAUACUUUAUUUAAUAUAGUAAGUGGGAAACAAAAUAAUUCAUAGAUGCAUGUUUCUAGUUUUCAUGGAGAUUCCAUGUUUCAAUGUCCUCUUUUCCUAGGUUUAUUACCAUUUUCUCCUUCACCUUUGUCUCCGUUAUCGUGGUUUCCUCCAUUGUCGUCUUCUUCAACGGGUGGCUCACUAUCGUGGUAUCCCAUGCCACCAAAGUUGUAUAUCAUGCUCUGUACCCAUUCUGAUGCCCAACCCAAUGCCAAAUCUCUCAAAGUUCUCCAAUCUACAAACCUUCUUAUUAAAGUACUAUAUUCGGAUUGCUCAGCUGCCACAAUAGUCAUAAGAAGGGGAACACAUAGAAAGAAUACUAAGAUAAAAAAUUUUGUUUUCAUCCCUUGCUUAAAUUUCUUAAAGUUUCUUGUAAAAUAUGAAUAAUAUCCUCAAAUAUUUAUAGUGAUCACGCAUAGAAAAAAUAAGAUAAUUUUAAAAGACAAAAACAUAUUGAAGAAAAUUAUAUUGCGUACUAAAAAAAAAGACAAUAUGUAUUCUAUGGCCAAUUGCGAAGACAAUGGGUCAUCAAGAUCCAUAGAGCCAUGGAAAAGUUAAAUAAAUUAGAACAUGUUUGCCUUUUGGAUCAUGAUAAUUUGACGAUCAAAGAGACGUUUUAUCCAAUUAAUCUUUUCUAAAAAGUUGCUUUUGGUAAAAUUGUUUCAGAAAAUAGAAUUUAAAACUAGGGAGUUGUAAAAUUUGACUUCCUAAUAAAUUUAGGAUUAAAGUGAUGUAAUGUCCAAUUAAUUCUAAAUGAAUGAUUUAUUUUGACUAUUAAAUGUUUUAAUAUUGGAAUAUUAAAUUUUUAGUAUCUAAAAAAUUUUGAAAUUUUAAUUUUAGUACUUAUUAAAAAAAAUUAUAUUUUUUAGUUUCUACAAAAUUGUUAUGUAAACAGUUUAAUUUAUACCAUAUUGGAACAUCAAUAUAAAUAUUUAAAUACUUUUUUUUUUGCAUACAUGCUGACAUUAUAAAAAGUUCAACAUAAAAAAUGAUAUCAAAAUUCAAUUUCUAGAUCUAUAUUUUAAAGACUUUUAUCUUAAAUAGACGACGUUUAAUUAAUUCAUCCCAAAUUAAAAAAAAAUUAUAUGAAUUAAUUUUUAAUAAUAUUCUAAACAUGCUUACAAUAUUAUUCAAAUAUUUAAAAGUUGAAGAAUAUUUUAUUUCAUCAGAGACUAAAAUAAUUUGAUUAAUAAUUUUAUAGGAAUUAAAAAAAAUGUAUGCAUACAUAAAAAAAUAAAAAAUUAUCAUCUUGGUUCUAAGAACACAACUAAAACAAAUCAAACGAUAACUUCUCGUUUUGAUUAUGAGUUAUAUUUGGUAUUUGUAAUAUUUUAUUUUAUUUUUACAUCUUACCUUAUUAUGAGUUGAUAUAAUUAUUCUGUAAAUUAUUGGUGAUAAUUAUUAUUGUAAUGUGUUAUUUUAAUUUUUAAUAAUAAUAAUAAUAAUAAUAAUAAUAAUAAUAAAAAAGGGAAUCGUUAAAAACAAAUUUCAGACGCUGGAAAUACACGUUUCCCAUUUAAUAUCACGUUUUCUAUUUAAUACCAUCCCUUUAAUACACGUCCCCAUAUAAUAACACACGUUACCCACUUCUAAUGAUAAAAAAGGAAUAAAACAAAACAUAAAAAGAAAUAAAACAAAAACGGGUUUCAGGGAGAAAAAGAAAGAAAUUCAAGAACUAAAUGAGUUACUGAUUCAUCCCUCAAGUAUAACACAUUUGAAGCAAAGACCACUGCGUGAAAAUUUUAAUUACGACACUCAUAUUGAUAAGGGGCAUGACUCCAUCCGCUUUUCUAAUUGAAUUAUUGUUUGUGUGUUAUAUUCGAAAUGAAUAUUAAUAAUUGUUGUGUUUGACAUGUUCAAAAUGUGGAAAAUAAAUGUUAUGUGAUAUGUUGUUAUAAUGGUUGUGUUGAGCAUAUUCAUAGUGUGAAGAAUAAAUGUUAUGUGAUAUGUUGUUAUAAUGGUUGUGUUGAACAUAUUUAAAGUGUGGAAAAUAAAUGUUAUGUGAUAUGGUGUUAUAAUGUUGUGUUAAACAUAUUCAAAGUGUGAAGAAUAAAUGUUAUGUGAUGUGUCGUUGAUAAGUUAGUAUCGCAUUAUAUUUUAUUAGAGUGUACACGAAGCCCUUGCGGGGGAAGCGAUAUUUCGGAAUCAUUAUAUAGAUUAAGUAAUAAGGUUUGUUGGAUAUGCAUUAAUUAAACUGUAGUGUGACUAGUGUUUUGUAAAGAUAACUGAUACAUUGUAUCUCCUGGUUUUUGUGAAUUAAAGUUAUAAAAAAUGUGAUAUUGUAUCUCCUGGUUUUGAGUGAAUUAACGUUAUUAAAUAUGUGAUAGUGUACUUCUAUAUCUUAUUAUUAAUUAGGUAGAUAUGGUAAUGUUAUAUUUGUAUUGUCAAUGUGGUUAGUCGUUUGAGUGAAUUAAUGUUAUUAAUUAUGCAAACAUUGUACUGUUAUCUUUUCAUUGUUAUUAUAUCUUUAAUGCGUUGUGAUUUUUAAUUGUUAAAUGGAGUACAUGAUUUACUUAUAUUUUUGCUAUAACAACUAUAUAUGCAUGCAUAUUUGCUAUGUGUUUGUUAUUUUGAGAUGACCCUUAUAUUUGACAGGACGUUACAUAUAGUGCUAUGUGUUUGUUAUAUUUUCAUUGUUAUUAUACCUAUUGGUGCGUUUUGAUUUUUAACUGUUAAAUGAAGUACAUGAUUUAUUUAUAUUUUUGCUAUGAUAUCUCUAUAUGCAUGCAUAUUUGCUAUGUGUUUGUUAUUUGGAGUUGACCCUUACAUUUGACAGACUUGUUGGGUUAGCUUACCAAAAGUCCGAAGUUUAUGACCAACUGAAUUUAUGCUUGGGUAGUAAAAUAUCAACAGUUUUGGCUAUAGGAGUCUCUUUUGUUUAAUAUAUUAAAUUUAAAUUGUAAAUAUUUUGAUUCUUUAUUUUUGAAAAUAUAACUAAAAAUAUUAUUAAAUGAUUUUAAGAUAAAUGAGUAUUUAAAAUAAUUACAAAUGAAUAAAAGCAAAUUUGUAUUUUUACGUAUAGAAUUUUGUUAGUUAAUGUCCCGAAAAAGCAGGAUGUUAGUCUUGGUUAGCAUCCUUCUAAUCUGCUGUUGGGGAAUUCCUUGUGCCUUCAUUUUAUUGAAUGGAUUUUUCUUUGUCCGAAGAAGAACAAACCAUUGUUGAGUGUUUGCCGUUAUAACCAAUUAUUAAAAUAGAGUAAUAUUAAUGGAAAUGCACAAUUGCUCCUGCGAUCCCUUAACUUAAUUUUAGAUAACACUUUAAUUUUUUUUAAUUGGUCUUUUAUUUAAUAUUAUUACAAAAAUUCGAAAAUAUAAAGAAUGAAAAUAUGAGUUUAUUUAAAGAUUUAAGAUAUUUCAUCGACGUUGUUUCCAUAAAUUAUGAUCUCAUCAACAUAUAUCACUAAGGCAGUAAAGGACGAGCAAAUGGAUUUAAUGAAUAAAGAAUGAUAUGAAUUAGAUUGAGUAUACUCUUUUGAAAUGAGAGUGGAGGAAAGUCUAGCAAACCAUUGCUUACUAGACUAUUUUAAACCAUAAAGAGGUUUUUGAAGUUUACAAACAAUAUUUGGAUUAUGAGCCAAUAACCCAAGUAACAAUUGCAUAUAGACUUCCUCUUCUAAAUUGCCAUGUAAAAAAGCAUUGUAAACGUCUAACUUAUGAAAAUGUCAAUUAUGAGAUGAUACAAGAGCAAGUAAGAGUCUUACGAUAAUGAGCUUAGCUAAAGUGAAUAAGUAUCAAAAUAAUCAAUUCCUUCAAUUUGGUUAAAACAUUUGGCAACAAGGCGUGCCUUAUAAUGUAUUAUAGAACCAUCAGCGUUAUAUUUUACCUUAUAAACCCAUCGACAACCUAAGGGCUUUUUAACACGUGGCAACUUAGUAAGAGUCCAAGUGUUGACUGAUAGAUUGCAUGGUCUGAACCUAAUUAUUAUAUGUGACAACUUGUUUAAAGCUAGUAGGGUCACGAACAACAGAAAUAAAGGAAAUAAAAUGAUAGAAAAAUUAUGACAAUUUUGACUAAGAUAAGACCUGGUAUAAACGAACAACAGAAAUAAAGGAAAUAAAAUGAUAGAAAAAAUAUGACAAUUUUGACUAAGAUAAGACCUGGUAUAAAUGAUACAAUAUAUUGGACUUAUGGCACCUAUCAUGUGCAAAAUUUCACUCAAAAUCUUGUAAGUAAGCAGGGACCUUGUUAGACCUUGAAGACCUACGAAUAGUAUCUUGAUGCUCAUCAAAAUCAAAGAUAGGGGAAGUAUGUAAAUUGUUGGGACUAGUAUCAAGACUAGAUGAAGGAGUUGGAGCAAAUAUAAUACUAUCAUCAGUGGAGUUAUUAACAUAAACAAUUAUUAGGCAAAAGCAUAUUAGUAUCAUCAAACAGAAUAAAGGAAUCGUGAGAAUCAUCAUUAAUAUGCAAGGAAGUAGAAUUAAGAUUAACAUAUGGAAAAACAUAUUCAUAAAAAUCUACAUUCCUAGAAACAAAGGUGACAUGGGUAUGUAAAUCAAACAUCAAAUAACUUUUAGUUCCUUAUCUAAAUCCAAGGAAAAUACACUUGGUGGCCCUUGGAUAAAGUUUAGUGCUAUAAUCACUACGCGAAAAAACGCAUUUUACAGCGCUUUUUUUAAGCCAUUUACAGCGCUUUUUCAAAAAAAUAAGCGCUGUGGAAACGAGCGCUGUAAAUGAUACAACAACGCUUUUAAAAAAGCGCUAUAAAACAUGUAAAUACAACGCGCGCUUGUUAUGCACAUUUUACAGUGCUUCUUCACAAAAAGCGCUGUAAUAUGCACCCCAUUAUAUGAGUUAUGGGUGUUCAUUUUACAGCAAAGCGCUCUAAAAUGCACACCCAUAACUCAUAUAAUGGGGGGCAUAUUACAGCGCUUUCUCAAACAAGCGUUGUAAUAUGCCCAACCAUAAUUUCAUAUAUGGGUGGGCAUAUUACAGCGCUUUUUUGAGAAAGCGCUGUAAAAUGCCCACCCAUAAUUUCAUAUAUGGGUGUGCAUAUUACAGCGCUUUCUCAAAAAAGCGCUGUAAAAUGCCCACCCAUAAUUUCAUAUUAUGGGUCUGCAUUUUACAGCGCUUUUCUUGUACAUUUUACAGCGCUUUCUCACGAAAGCGCUGUAAAAGGUGCACCAUUAAAGCGCUUUAGAACAACAUUUUACAGUGCUUUGUAAAAAAAGCGCUGUAAAAUGUGUGUUUUUUUUUUUUAAACGUUGUAAAUUAAUUAUUUGAAACGAAAAACGCUUUUUAGCUUUUUAUGGCAUUUUUUUUAAAAAGCGCUGUCUUUUAUCUUUGUAUCCAAAAUUAUUUUGAUCCAAAAUCACUUCACAAUCAGUGCACACAACAACAAAACAUAUUCAAAUACCAUAAGCAGUUCACACAAUCAGUAGAACAGAAAUCAGAACUCUGUAACUUUAUUAAUAUAUAUGUAACUCUGUAACUCUGUAAUUUACAACCUAAUUAACUACAUUCAGAUACGUAUAUAUAUAUAACCUAAUUUACAACCUAAACUACAUUCAGAUCCAUAUGCAUGUUCAUAUAUUGUGUCCUAUGAUCAUUUACAUAUAAUAACUAACAGAAUAUACAUUAUAUGCACUAGCUACCAUAUAAUAUUCAGAUCCCUUGCCCAGCAGCAAGCUAUUUCCCAGAAAAUCAAAUAAUUUUCAUGUCAAGCACGUACUGACACCAUUCUUCCUUUAAUUCCAUCAGAUCUUCCUCAGAAUAUGAUGGACUGGAAUUGGCAAAGUACUGCAAUAUAAAAAUUGAACAUAUUAUAUUAAGUUAGUAUCAAAUAUAUAGAUAAUUUAUAUAUGAAAAUCAUAUAAUGCAAAUACCGUACCGUUUCUGGGAUAAUAGUUUUAUUCUUCUCAACAAUCUCCUUCAUGAAUCUCAAUACGUAGUACCCACAGUCGAUGUUAUUUGUUUGACGAGGGCACUUUAUUGAGAUCCAUGUAAUGUUAUUAGACUUCUGCUUCGACACUUUAGCACCUCUUUGAGCUCGAUAAACUUUUAAGGCACUAUCGAAUGAAUAAAUGUGAUUAUUAGAGCAUGAAUAUUUAAAUAUAUAUAUAUGUAAGAAAUAAAUGAAUAUUACUUACGUGUCGAGCAUAUUCUUUAUUCCGGGGUGAUUGGUGUAAUCGCCGUGCACGGGAUCCAAAUAGUAUAUCACUUCAGAGACCGCAUUGAUUGCAAAUAGCACCCAAUGUGCCCUACAACAACAAAAAAUUGGUUAAGCAAUUUUGUUUAUAGACAACUAAUAAAUUAAAUUCUCAUCAAUUAAAAAAGAUAAAAUUACGUACCCUGAAUUAUAUGGUGCCAAGAACAAUUUAUCACUUUCUUUAUUUCUUAAAAACAUAUCUACAAUGUAGUGUUUUACAUUGUCUGGAUCGAGUUUGAACAUCGACAUCUUAUGCGGAGACAAGAAUGAGUAUUUAUUUGACAGUUUCCUCGUGCACACGACCUUCUCGUACAAAAACCUUCAAUGAAAAUUUUAAACUAGAUUAAUUACCAAUACAUUUAAUUAAUUACAAAUAAAUGCAAUUAAAAGUAUUUUUUACCUUAUGUACAAGCUGAUUACAGUAACACUCAGCUCCUUAUGUUCGAGAAGAUCGUACAUUUGCUCCUUUUCGAGGUAUUCAAUAUACUCAUCUCCAAAGAUGUCUUGAUUCAUUUGUACAAUGGGCGAAUCGUUGCUGCUGCCCAUGUUCCUUUUUAUUUGGAUGUCAAGACACGCCCCGUAUUUACCAAGGCGUGGCUGACUUUUAUUAGGAGCAGCAGCAGCAGCGACCGAUUUUCCCCGAUCCAGAUUUUUUGUUGCUGCAAGUUUUGCAGCUUUAUUACCCUCCAGCCUUUGUAGUUUGGCAGCCCUAUUAACCUCCAAUUUUUGAGGUCUGCUGCCUUUUUUUGGCUGUAGGGGUGGUUUAUUUAUUUGGACCUACAAAAAUGAGGUAAAAUGUUAGUUUAUUGAAUCUGAAAAAAUAAAAAACCUUAGGCAAUAAAUGUGACAAACCUUUUCGGGAGAUGUAACUGAUUUGUCCUUGGGAAUCUUUUUUUCGAGGGCAACAAGGUGUGUGGGCCAUGCCACGUAACUGCCAAUAGCGUCGCUUAAGAACUUCAUAUCUCCAUCGUUGUCCGGUAUGGGCAACGGUGCAGUUGGUUCGAAAGCAACCGUAGGCGAUACUUUGACAUGGCCCGCGGGGAUCGGAAUAUUGUGCAAUACUUCUCCCGAAGUAUUGUGCAAUAUUCCUUUUCCCACCUUCCGUUGAGUCGGCGAGGACAAGUAUAGGACACAUGUAGUGACACCCUACAUCAAUAGUUAAAACAUAAGUACAGUUAAUAUAUAAGUUUGUUUAAUACAUAAGUAAUUACAUAAGCAAGUAAGUAGUAAGUAAUUAAUUACCUCGGGAAUACUCUUCAAACCGACGUUGCAACUCCCGGUUUCACUCUCCAUUUGUAUUUCAGGUUGGAGCUGAACCGGAAGUUGCUUGUCUUUAUUCGUAUUCACCAAGAGUGCCACUUGCUCCGAUAAGAUUCUGAGCUUCUCUAAUACUUCCUCGUUGGAAGGUUUUUGGCGCUUCUCUUGAGGAAAAAAGCUUUUGGGAGUUACGCCAAAUCCUUUCCCCCUCACUCGACCGGAAUACUCAGGGACAUUAAACACUUUCCCAAGAAUGUCCCUGCACGUAUCCUUGUUGCCCUCUUGAGUUUCAGAACUUUGUUCAAUAGUUUCCUAAAAUACAUGUAACAUUAAAAAGAUAAGUUCAAUAGCAUUUUUAAAAUACAAUAUUAAAAAAUAUUAAAGUGAUAAUAUACUUACACAAAGUUCUACAACUUUCUUGACAUUUUCAUUAUCAACCACUCCUUCUUUGUUAACACGCGCUUCCUUCCAUAAGAUAUGACGACCCAAGGGUUGAUCGGCUUGGGUGUCUUUUCUCUAUUCGUUAAAAUCAUAAACAAAAUAAUACAAAUUAGUUACACACUAUAGUUUAUAAUACAAAUUACAAGUGAUGUUUAAUUACUUACAAUUUUUUGUUCAAGGCGUGCAUAUCCCAUACGUGAUUUCUUGUAUGGGUGUUUUGGGUUGCUUGCCCGUUCGCGAUUUGCCGUACUAAUAUUCUAUAUAAAAAAAAAAUUGCAAUUGUGUAAAAAUUUAAAAUACGCUACGAAUAUGAAUAAUAAAACACAAAUGCUAAUAAAUUAAUAACUUACGACAAACGCCGGGUCAGAACGUUUGGAAACAAAUGCACUCCAUUCAUCCUUUGAUAUAUAAUGUUGAUAUAUCUUUGGAGGUUCAGCAUUUGUGUUUCCUUCUCUAUCUUUUAGAUAGAAAUUUGAGAGAUGGGAUCUAAAUCCACGAUGGAUUUUCCCAGCAACUCUCAAAACAUAUGACUUUCGUUCCUCAUCAAGAACAAAAGUGGUCUGCAAUGAAAACAAUUAUAAGUAAUGUAUUUUACAGAAAAAAAAUUAUAAAUGACAAAAGAGUAGAUCAAAAUAUUUACUUGAAUGUCAUUCCAGAUGAUAUCUUUGGCAUCCUUCAACGCCUUAUCUCUCCAGUUGUCUAUUGUUAUUGGGACAUUUUGACGAACAACAGCCCCAAUGUAGCUUACAAACAUGGAGCUGUUGGGGUCAACUGGCUGACCACUCUCGUUCCAGCCAACCUAAUAAACUCAUAUAGUAAGUACAUGCCCUAAACCCUAAAAAAAGAUAAAAAAACACACAGCAAACAGAGUAUAUAUAGUAUACCUCAAAUUUAAUGCCACUGCUCCGUGCUUUAAUCACCCUUUGCAUGAUAGUUGCACCACGUUUGACUUCUUUUUCGUAAGUCUUAGAGGUGCCAACUUCUUCAUUUUGAACUUCUAAAUCUUUGUUUGUAUCCAUUUAACUACAACAAGUUCAACAUGCACUUUAGUAUAACAUCAACAAGCUCAACAUGGAUCAUGCAUUAUUAUAAACAAACUCAACAUGUAUCAGUAUAUCUUAAAAAAGCUCAACAUGCAUUUUAAUGAUUACAAAAAAUUUAUAACAUCAAUACCUGAAUAAUGGUUCGAAGAAAGAUGAAAUCUAAAGAAAAGAGGGAACGCAGAAAGUUCACAGAAAUAUGGUUCAAAGAAAUAGGAUAUUGAAGAAAUACGUAAUGAGGGUUACGUAUUUCAAUGAAAAUAUAUUGUGUGAAAUGGGAGAGAUGAUCUUGGAUGGAAAUAAGGUUCGAAAUGAAGGAGAUGAUCGUGGAAAUAAGGUUCGUAAAGGACGGGAUGAUAGGGUUUGCAAAAGAAGAGAAGAAAUGAAGGUUGAGAUGACAAUACCUGAAUAAUGAUGGUUCGAAGAAAGACGAAAUGCAAAGAAAAGAGGGUUUGCAGAAAGUUCACAGAAAUAUGGUUCAAAGAAAAGAGGGAACGGUAUUGAAGAAAUACGUAAUGAGGGUUACGUAUUUCAAUGAAAAUAUAUUGUGUGAAAUGGGAGAGAUGAUCUUGGAUGGAAAUAAGGUUCGAAACGAAGGAGAUGAUCGUGGAAAUAAGGUUCGUAAUGGACGGGAUGAUAGGGUUUGCAAAAGAAGAGAAGAAAUGAAGGUUGAGAUGAUAGUGAAAGACCUCCUUGUGUUAUUAUGUUAUUUGAAUACCUUUUACAGCGCUUUUACACAUAAGCGCUCUAAAAUGUCUCUUUAUCUUAAUUUUAAGAGGCUCUUUUACAGCGCUUUUCCCAAAUAAGCGCUGUAAAAGAACUCCGUGUGUUAUUAUGUUAUAUGAAUGUUUUUUAAAGCCUUUUACAGCGCUUUUCCACAUAAGCGCUCUAAAAUGUCUCUUUAUGUUAAUUUUAAAAGGCUCUUUUACAGCGCUUUUUCCAAAUAAGCGCUGUAAAAGGCCUUAUUGUUUUUGUGUUUUGUUAUGUUAUGUUAUUUUUUAAACAAGCUCAACAUGCAUGCAAAACCCACAUAGUAGUAACUGGUCACCACAAAAAUCCCUUCCUCUUCACCAAACUCUUCUCCUUUUAUGCAUCUUCUUCACAAACAUCAAAGCUUACUCUUUCACAAUUCAAUCUCCACCUCAACACCCUUUUUAUCUCUUUACAUUCUCUUUCCUUCUUAAAUCGAAACUUAAUUGGUAUUCAGGAUCAUUGCCAUGUUGCGAAAAAUGGGUUUGUGUCUGGUGUUUUUGGGGAUUCCCAUGAUGCGUACAAGGUGUUUGAAGAAAUGGGUUUGUGUCUGAUGUUUUUUGGAUUCCCAUGAUGCGUACAAGGUGUUUGAAGAAAUGGGUUUGUGUCUGAUGUUUUUUGAAUCCCAUGAUGCGUACAAGGUGUUUGAAGAAAUUAGGUGUCUGAUGAAUAUUAUUUUUAAAGCCAUUUUACAGCGCUUUGGCAAACAAGCGCUGUAAAAUGUCUUUUUUACUCACUUUCAAAAGAGUCGUUUACAGCGCUUUGUGUGAAAAGCGCUGUAAAAGGUAUAAAACACUCAUUAUUUUAUUUUUAAAAGGAUCUUUUACAGCGCUUUUUAAGAUAAGCGCUGUAAAAUGUCUCUUUAUUUUAUUUUUGUGUUUGGUUUAUUUGGGUUGGGAUGACAUUAAAAACAUUUUUAUCAUUGUUUAUUGGAUUAAAAAUAUUGUUAUCAUUGUCUUUAUCACAAUACUUUAGGAGAUGAUGAAUUAUUAGAAAUGAGUAUUCUGAAGAAUCUAUAUAUAUAUAUGCACUGAGCAAAAGAGAAUCUCUCUAUUCAGUUCAGUUCAGUUCAUGUAAAUUACUAAUUUAUAUUCAGUUCAGUUCAUGUAAAUCAAGCUAAAUAUAAAACACUCAUUGUUACAUGAACUUGGUAUAAAACACUCAAAUCAAGCUAAAUAUAAGCAGAAAAUAAAUUAAUCAGAAAAUAAAUUAAUCAGAACUUAGUAUAAAACACUCAAUUCAGAUUACAUGCAUAUUUACAAUAACACAGUUCAGAUUACAUGCAUAGCUUAUAUAAAACAAUUAAACAUAUAUAUACAUUAAGAUGCCCUUCUUCUUUUCCUGGUGACAUUCACAUUUGUUUGUCCAUUUACAAUACGAAACGAUGGAUUAAUCCAAAUUCCCUCAUCAUGAUCAUCUCUAAGAUAUAAACCAUCAUCAGUUGAAUCAAUUUCAUGUGGUUGUUGUGAUGUUGCAAAUAAAAGAUCAUUACCAACAUCUUCAUCAUUAUUGUUAUCAUCACUUAUUUUAUUGGUCGAUAGGACAACAGACCAUUUAUCAUUAGAAGGAUCAGUGACAUAAAACACUUGUUGAGCUUGCGACGCUAAAAUAAAAGGCUCGUCUUUGUAUCCCACCCUAUUAAAAUCGACAAGCAAGAAUCCUGACUCAUCAAUCCGAACGCCAUUAUUAUUAUCGACCCACUUGCAACCAAAUAUGGGAACACGAAACAUUGUGUAGUCUAACUCCCAUAUGCGCUCGAUAACCCCAAAAUAUGAUAGAUUUGCAUAUAUUGGGUUUUUGUCUUUUGCACUUGAGACAUGCAUCGCUUCAGCUACGAGAGUGACUCCACUAUUUUGCAUAGUGGUCUGAUCAUCUUGUUCUUUGGUAUAAAAUGUGUAGCCGUUAAUAACAUAACCAGUGUAAGAAAAGACAUGUAAGCUCGGACCAUUUGCUAGCCACCUCAAUCUAUUUGAAAUUGAUCCGGGGUCUAUAUCAAAUUUUGACAUUAUGUGAUUUUUUAACCAUGUUACAAAACUUCGAUUGUGCUCUCGAGUUAUCCAAUUUUGAUUCCUAUUCAUGUUCAAACGAGAUAACUGAUCAAUGUGUAUUGUAACAUACGGUUGAACCUCAUCAUCAUUGUGCAGAACAUACAAUUGUGCCUGCUCCCAUUCUGUCCUUGAUAUAGUCAGUAGUCUCCUUCCAGUUAUCCCUUCUCCUGAUAGUCUUCCCGAAUGACGAGACAUGGGAAGCCCUAUGGAUUCAACAUUGGACAGAUAUUCAGUACAAAAUUCAGCAGCCUCUUCAACAAUGUAUCGUUCAGCAAUACAACCUUCUGGUCGACUUCUACUUUUUACGUACCCUUUUAAUAUUUUCAUAUAUCGUUCUAUCGGAUACAUCCAUCUCAUAUAAGCUGGCCCACAAAGUUGUGUCUCCUUAACCAGAUGAACAGUAAGGUGAACCAUUAUAUCAAAAAACGAUGGUGGGAAAUACAUUUCAAGCUCACACAAAGUAACAACAAUUUCCCUCUGCAAUGUCGGUAAUUUCUGAGGGUCGAUCACUUUACUACAAAUUUCCCUGAAGAAGAAACAUAAUCUAGUUAAGGCUAGUCGAACUUUUUCAGGUAAAAUGGAACGUAUACCUAUUGGUAGCAAAUGCUCCAUUAUAAUAUGACAAUCAUGGGUCUUCAAACCUUUUAACUUGAGGUCUUUCAUACAAACCAAAUUUUUAAUGUUCGAAGAGUAUCCUUCUGGAACUUUAACUUCGUGUAGAAAUUUACAUAAAACAAUUUUUUCCUUUCUAGAUAGAGUAUGAGCGGCUGGAGGUAGAUAUGUGCGAUUUCCUUUCUUUACUGGAGCCAGUUCAUUUCUUAUUCCCAUAUCGACCAAGUCCAAUCUUGCAUUGACGCCAUCUUUAGACUUUCCUGGAACAUUGAGUAACGUACCAAUAACACUUUCAAAUACAUUUUUUUCAAUAUGCAUCACAUCGAGGAAAUGUCUUACAUACAAUGACUUCCAAUAUGGCAAUUCAAAGAAAAUUGACUUUUUCUUCCACCCAGUUUUCACCAGCUCUCCCGCAAAAGGUUUGCCAAAUUUAUUGGUCAAACCUUGUACUUUUUCAAGUAUUUGAUAUCCAGUCGGUGCUAAAGGAGCUUUACCUUCCUCUGAUUUUCCAUUGAAUGCAUUUCUCCACCCACGAUACUGAUGACUAUAAGGUAAAAAUCUACGAUGUCCAAGAAACACAUUCUUCUUACAAUGUUUCAACCGCAUCCAAUUUGUACUCUCUUCACAUAUAGGACAUGCACACUGACCUUUAAUGCUAUAUCCUGAUAAAUUACCAUAUGCUGGAAAAUCAUUAAUUAUGCCGAACAACAUAACCCUUAAAUUGAAACAUUCUUUCUUAUACCCAUCAUAAACUUCCACACCUGUCUCCCACAUACUUUUUAAAUUUUCGAUUAGAGGAGUCAAGUAUACGUCGAUAUCAUUCCCCGGUUGUUUGGGUCCAGAAAUUAACAGAGACAACAUCAUAAACUUACGCUUCAUACAUAACCAUGGAGGUAGGUUAUAUAUUACCAAAAUCACAGGCCACGUGCUAUGUGAGAUGCUUUGAAGACCAUGUGGAUUCAUUCCAUCAGUAGAAAGUGCAAGUCUUAGAUUUCUUGACUCUAUCCCGAAUUCAGGAUACUCGUGAUCAAUUUUUGCCCAUUGUGGGGAAUCUGCAGGGUGUCGAAACAUUCCAUCUCUAAUUCUUUCAUCUGCAUGCCAUGUCAAGUGUUUUGAAUCUUCUUCACUGCGAUACAUGCGCCUAAAUCUUGGUAUUAUAGGAAAAUACCACACGACUUUUGCUGGAGUAGAUUCUUUCUUCUUAUAUCGAGAGACAUUGCAUUUCGGACACGCCUUAAGUAGUUCAUAUUCGUUUCGAAAUAAAAUGCAAUCGUUAGGACACGCAUGAAUCCUUUCGUAACUCAUUCCAAUAGAACACAAAAUCCGUUUAGCCUCGUAGGUCCGACUGGGAAGUUCAUUAUCAUCUGGCAACAUAUCUUUUAUGAGUGUUAAUAAUUCCGUAAAGCUUUUAUCAGACCAUCCAUUACUCGCUUUUAAGUUGUACAACUUUAAUAUCGCUGACAGUCUUGUGAAUUUAGUACAACCAUUAUAUAAUUCUUUCUCUGCAUCACUCAACAAACUUUCAAACAUUUUAGGACAAUCUCGAAGAUCUUCUUCAACUGCUUUUGCAAUCUCAUCAACUCGGUCCGGCUCAUAUGUAUCUGUAUCGAAAUCAGUUGAAGCAUAUGUAGAACUAUUCUCAAAAUUAAUGUUUCCUUUUUUUUUCUCACCAUGUCUUAUCCAACAUGUGUAGCUUUGAUCAAUUCCAUUACAUACUAGAUGUCCUUCUAAUUCAUCUUCUCUAACACGUUUUCCAAAACAACAUUUUAAACAAGGACAAACUACUCUAUUUGGAUCUUUUGCAUUCUUCACUGCAAACUCAACAAACUCCUUCACUCCAAUUUCAUACUCUUUUGACAAUCGAUUGGCUGAAAUCCAUUUCCUAUCCAUAUUAUACCACCUAUAUAAAUGCAGUAACAAAAAUAAUAAGCUUUCAAAACAUAUCAACAAGUUUCAAAAAGAAACCAAUAUCAACUAACAAUUUCAAAACAGAACAGAUCAUGUGGUAUGAGUUUUUGACAAUUUUUGACAAUUUCAAAACAUAACAGAUCAUGUGUAAAAAAUACCUUAGACAACGUAGAUGGCCGCACAGUACGUAGAGGAUAUUAGGGUUCGCAACGUAUAUAAUUAUUUGAAAGAUGUAGAGGAUAUGAGGGUUUCCAACGUAUAUAAUUAUUUUAAAGAUGUAUUUUACAGCGCUUGUGAAAAACGCGCUGUAAUAGGUAGUUAAAUUCAAUGAAAGCGCAUGUGUUUUACAGCGCUUGUGAAAAACGCGCUGUAAUAGGUAGUUAAAUUCAAUGAAAGCGCAUGUGUUUUACAGCGCUUGUGAAAAACGCGCUGUAAUAGGUAGUUAAAUUCAAUGAAAGCGCAUGUGUUUUACAGCGCUUGUGAAAAAAGCGUUGUAAUAGGUAGUUAAAUUCAAUGUAAGCGCAUGUGUUUUACAGCGCUUGUGAAAAAAGCGUUGUAAUAGGUAGUUAAAUUCAAUGUAAGCGCAUGUGUUUUACAGCGCUUGUGAAAAAAGCGCUGUAAUAGGUAGUUAAAUUCAAUGAAAGCGCAUGUGUUUUACAGCGCUUGUGAAAAAAGCGUUGUAAUAGGUAGUUAAAUUCAAUGAAAGCGCAUGUGUUUUACAGCGCUUGUGAAAAAAGCGCUGUAAUAGGUAGUUAAAUUCAAUGAAAGCGCAUGUAUUUUACAACGCUUGUGAAAAAAGCGAUGUAACUGAUACGCGAAAGCGCUUCCUUUUACAGCGCUUUUUUGACAAGCGCUGUAAAAGCCUUAUAACGUGAUGCGCAAACGUUAUAUGACCUACUACAACGCUUGUUUUACAGCGCUUUGAAUCAAAAGCGCUGUAAUAGGUUCCGUUAUUUUUAAAAUAUAAUUACAACAGCGCUUGUGUUUAGCAAGCACUGUAAAAUGGGCGCUGUUAAAUGUCAUUUUUGGCGUAGUGAAUAUAGCAAAGUGGAAGCAAAAGCAAGACAUCAAAAAAACCUUUAAAUACAUAAAGUUAGGAGAUUGUUUAUAUAACCUUUCGAAAUGGGUCUUAUUAUGUAAACAGGAGGUAGUUCACCUGUUAAUAAGAGAAACAACGUGAUUAAUAGCAAAAGACAAAAAAUUCUUUGGUAGUUUAGAGUGGAAAAUAAGUGAUCUAGUCACAUUAAGAAGAUGAGGAUGUUUCCUUUCAACAAUUAAGUUUUCUUGGGGUGUAUCAACACAAGAGGUUUGAUGCAAUAUGCUCAAACUAGAAUAAAAAAGAGGCAUAUUGAAUUCAAGACCAUUAUCAUUGCUGAUUUUCUAGACUUUUGUAUUGAAUUGUAUUUUAACAAAGGAAACAAAGUUUUGAAGGAGCAUAUGAGUUUCAGAUUUAGCAUUCAUUAAAAAUAACCAAGAAAAUCAUGAAUAAUCGUCAACAAUAGUUGGAUAAUAUUGAUGACCAUCAAAAGAAGGAACAUUAAUAGGUCCUCAAAUAUCAACAUGUAUAAGGCUAAAAAUAUGUAAAGAAACAUUUUCACUACGCGGAAAAGGGAUUUUAGCAUUUUAUGCCCAAAUAAAAAGAGUCACAAAUCAUAUUUUUAUUAACUGAAAUGUAAUAAAAUCGUUUACACAUUUGUUGUAACAGGGUUAUUGAUGGAUGACCUAACCUAAAAUGUCAAACAUCAAAUUUAUUUGGUAUAGUGGCAUUAACAAAGGUAGUAUAAUGGUGAUUAGAAACAGGAGCAAAUUCAGUAGAAAAAACCAUAGCAGAGAUAUAAUAUGAUCAAGAAUAUAAAGGCUAUUACAAUGCUCCACAUGUCCUAUCGUCUUAUGGGUAUGCAAAUCCUGAAUUGUAUAAAAAUUCUUAGAAAAUAAUAGUUUGUAAUCCAAAUCAAGAGUGAGUUUUGAAAUAGAUAUUAAACUAAAAUUGAAUUGAUGAAUAAACAACCUAUUUUUCAAGUAAAGAUCAGAAGUAAAGUAAAAAUGUCCUAAAAAAUGCGUAAGAAUAUACGACCCAUUUGGAAAAAUAAUAAAAAUUGGUUCAAUUUGUUUCAUUGAAUAAAAACAUUUGAUAAAUGGACAAACAUGAUCUGAAGCCCCCGAAUCCAUAAUCCAUAGAGAAAAAGGAUUAGAUACGAAACCUGUAUUAGAAAUACUUGAUACUACGUGAUUGGAUUAAUCUGAAAUAGAAUUCUUGGUUUCGAAAGAAGUUACAUCAACAUAUUUAGAAUUAUGUAGCAGAUUAAUCAAAAUAUUAUAAUAUGUUUUGCUAAGAUGAUUGUUGAUUGUUGGAAUCGUGUUGCUGUGUAGGCUAGGAGAGAGAAGGAUUCUUAGAACCAUUUAUUGAAGACGAAUUCAAAGAUUGUUAUUUACGAUAUCAUAGUGGAAAGCCAUGUUUGAAAUAACAUGUGUCUACAAUGUGAUUAUUCUUAUGACAUCGAGUAUAAAACAUGGAGGGCCGAGGCUGACCACGACGAUGAUGGUAUUGCCUGCGACCUUGACCUGAAUUUUUGGAAGUAUUGAUAUUAAAAACAACAUAAGUAUCAGGAGGAUUAUGGUUUGAAUUGGGGACAAGGUCUUAUUGAAAAACGAAAGAAUGCACCUUGUUAAUAUAAGGUAAAGGAUCCAUGAAUAAAAUCUGUGUGUGAAUGUUAUUGUAAUUUUUAUUCAAACCUUUAAGAAAACAAGUGAUAUACUCUUGAUGCUUGAAAUAAUGAACUGUUGUGUUGAGCUUGCAAGAACGAGGAAUAGGGCAUAUGCAUGAUUGUGUUGGGCACAAAUCCUCCAAUUCACCCCAAAGAAUCUUCACAUUGGUGAAAUAGGUAGACAAAGAAUGUUCACCUUGUUUGAUUGAAUGAAGAUCACGAAUUAGAUUGGAAAAUCGAAAAUUAUUUCCUUGAAUGAAACGAUCACGAAGAUCAUACCAUAACUCUAAUGCUGAAUCAAUGCAAAUGGAGAACGUUAAAAACUCAAUAUUGAUUUUGAUUGUGAAAACGGAGAACAUCCUUGGUUCUGGAAACAGAAAAUGGAGAACAUUCUAGGUUAAUUAAAAUCAAUAGUUUAGUUUAUAUGUUUAACUUGAUAAACAAAAGGAUUGAAAGUAAAUAGAGAUAAGAAGAUAGAUGUCACAUAAUGAUAUAUCUUAGUUCACCUAACUCAGGCUAUGUUCAGUGUAACACCCCGUUUUUCAAAGCGAGGGUAUUUUUUUUUUUUAAAAGUAAUUAAAAACGAACGAAGAAAUAAAUCAGGAAAUGCUUUUGGAUAAAUAAUUGAGUCAUUAUAAUUUACGCAGCGGAAAAGUUUCUCCAAUUAUAAAUCCAAAACAUUUUUACAUAAACAUCAAAUGGUACAUGGAACCCAUUCAAAGAUGAUAUCAAACUGAUAAUAUUUAUAUAAGUACAGUUUUCCAAAACUAAAAUACUCCAAACCAAAGAGAAGGACCCCUAGUCCCUAUACAUCAUCCUAAUCUGAUCAUCCUACCAAAAACUAUACACCCUGAGUAAUCUCCACGCGCCCCGUGAGAUCCUCCUAACACAACCGCAGUCAAGCAUUCCCAUCUCCAUCCCUGUCCGUAGGGUACGAACCAGUAGGGCCGUCCUGACUCUCAUCUGAGGGCAAAGCCCAGAUUUCCACAAUAGUGUAAAGGGUCACCAACCAGAAAAUAACAGAUAACACAUAGCAAUUAAGUUUUUGAAUGCUCAAAACAACUUUUCAACUAAGCAUGCACCUUAACAGGAUUUUCAAUGUGCGAAAAGUUCAUACAUUACAUUGCCAAUGAAAAUGAAGGUAAAAUGCAGUUCUCGAUCUCCUAAUUAACACAUGAUAAAACAAGACAUGGAUAGAUUCAUGAGCAAUAAAUCAUACAACUAAAACUGAGGAUUUUCACUGAGCCAAUCGAUUGGGCAAUCGAUUGGGGUGAAGAUUUUUAAUGAAAACAGAAUCCUGGGCUGAAUUCAAUCGAUUGGUAAAUCGAUUGAUUGGUUCCCACAACUUAACACUUAGCAAUUCCUACGCGAUUACUACGACACACGAAGGUUCGAUAACCAUCAUACUCACACACAAUACACAACACAUAGCACUUAACACCUUCAUCUCAGUUAUCACGAUAAAUCAAAAUUCGAAUCACUCAAUCAUAAACUCAAAUCAAACAUGACUCGCGUGCCAGGCACCCUAAUGCAAUGCGUAUAUGCCAAAAUGCAUGGACUCGGAAUUCCAAACCAAAACCCUCCUCGAAGGGCCGUAAAUCAUAAUUGUACCGCCUAUCGCAGGCCAAAGUACCAAUUACCGAGGUGCCACCUAUCACGGGUCAGCACGAUUUACUAAAAUGCGUAAAUCAUAAACGUACCACCUAUCACGGGUCAGUACAGUUACCAUGGUGUCACCUAUCACGGGUCAACUCGAUUUUCUAAAUAGUAACUCGUAAACGUACCACCUAUCACGGGUCAGUACAGUUUACCGAGGUGUCACCUAUCACGGGUCAACACGAUUUACUAAAAGAAAAAGCGGGAAUCGUAAACGUACCGCCUAUCACAGACCAGUACUGUUUACCUAGGUGCCACCUAUCACGGGUCAGCACAAUUCACCAAAAAUGUAAAUCGUAAAUGUACCACCUAUCACGGGUCAGUACAGUUACCAUGGUGUCACCUAUCACGGGUCAACACGAUUUACUAAAAGAAAAAGCGGGAAUCGUAAACGUACCGCCUAUCACAGACCAGUACUGUUUACCUAGGUGCCACCUAUCACGGGUCAGCACAAUUCACCAAAAAUGUAAAUCGUAAAUGUACCACCUAUCACGGGUCAGUACAGUUACCAUGGUGUCACCUAUCACGGGUCAACACGAUUUACUAAAAUGUAAAUCGCAAACGUACAACCUAUCACGGGUCCGUACAGUUUACCAAGGUGUCACCUAUCACGGGUCGACACAAUUUACCAAAUGAAAUGCAUGAGCAUACACAGACUCCAUUCACAACAAUCGUUAAGCAAAUGCAGAUAUUAAAAGAUUCCCCAUUUUUAAUACCCAUUUAACUUAAACGACUUUCAAACAACAUUAAUUAAAUAAGUCAUUAAGAGAUUCCCCGUUCUUAAUACCGAUUUAACUUAAUGAUUUUCAAAACAAAACGUUAAGCAAACAGUCAUAUUAAGAGAUUCCCCAUUCUUAAUACUCAUUUACCGAAACGAUUUUCAAAAACGAUAGUUAAGUAACCGAGACAUUAAGAGAUUCCCCAUUCUCAACGCCCAGUUAACUUAAACAUUUUCCUCAAAUACACAUUAAGUAAACCGAGGUAUUAAAAGAUUCCCCAUUUUUAAUACUCGUUUAACUCUAAUGGUUUUCAAAUUCCACAGAAACAAAUUCAAACAUACUUUCACAUUCAAACCAUAAUUCACAACAACCACACCAAUUAACAAACAUCAAGUACGAACACACCAAAUACAACGAACACAAAUCACGCAACAUAACACCCAGAUACAUCAAAUUUCAUUUACCCAUAAUCAUACACAAUGACAUUCAAAUUCAUUUACCACGAAACAUUCAUCACUAUAAACAAAACCUAACUCUAAGGUUUUUACCCAUAACGCACUAGUUUCGUUUUUCCCCAAAUCGAUACAUUUAACCCUAACAAAUUCCUUCCCACACAACUACAGAUAAGUCCCUAAUGCAAGCUAGAAGUUUGGAAGGAGCCCUUACCUCAACGUUAGCUUUAUCGUGCGUUUCCGGUACCGCGAGAAAUUCCGGUAAAAUCUCCGCUCGCAACGCCGCUUCCAAAUUAGUUCACUAGCACCGUAGCGUGGUGGUGAGCAACUUUCCCUUCUAUCUCUUCGAGAAAUGAGGUUUGGAUCUAGGAGAAACGGAGGGGUUUGUGUUUGGAUCUCAAAACCGUUUUUCUUCGUUUUCGAAUCAAAGAGGAAGAGUGGAGUUGCGAAAACCUUGAUCUAACUCACACCCGACCUUGGGUCACUAGCUUUGAAGAAAAGGAAGCAACGAAAACGAAAAAUGGAGAAGGAUGGAUUUUUGGUUUUUCACGUGAGAUGUUCAGAGGAAGGAGAUGGAAUUCGAGAUUUUCCUUCCUUUCUAUUUCUUUCCUUUGUUUUUCCUUUCUUCCUUUUUCCUUCCUUCCUUUAUAUACUAUUUUCUUUUCCUUUUCCUUCCUUCUAGUUUUCCUUUCUUUUUCCCCCCAAACAAACAUAUAUAAAUAUAAUAAAUAUAACUUAACAAAUAUCUCAAAAUCUAGAUAUUUAUUAAAUUACCGUUUCACCCGAAACGCCUUAAAUUCUUCGUAAAGGAUUUUCCGCAGUUAAAUUCAAUUUAUUUAUCGACGAGAAAUUCUAAUUGGCAUCGAAAUAUCUUUUUGAUUAGAAAACUCCAAAAUAUUAUUAACUUUGGCUUAAAAGCCUCCGAGCCAAAAUCCAAAAUAUACCAAAAAUACAUAAAAGGGUACUUUAAAAUUAUGGGUCUUACAUUCAGUCCUUACAAUUGUGAUAUUUUCCACAAAGCGUUCAAAUGGAGAAAAUUCUUGGUUUUACACAGUUUUGUUCAGAUUAACCUUGAUAUGUAACAACAAUUCAUUUCCACUUAGAAAUGAUUCAAUUAGGUCACUUAUCAAUCUUUAGAGAGGAUUUUACAAUUCACCUUUUAUCCAUAAAAAUGAUUUUCUACAAACUAUAAACAACUAUUAUAGUCUUGAGUUUACAAUAAUGAUUUAAAGAGAUUGGUAGAAUCUGAGUAUGUUCAAAUCGUGUUUGAGAAUACAUUCUUGAUAAAAGAAAUACAUAUAACGGUUCUGAUAUUUUAAAAAGAAAACAUAAUUGAAUCUUUUGUUUAUGAUUGAGAAGUUUUCAAGUAUAUAAGUGUAUGUAAGUGAUGGAUUUCUUAACACUUGAAGUUCUAUUUUUCCUUGAACUUGAGGUUCUUUUUAUAGGCUUCAAGGAGGAUGAUGACAACUACUUUGAUCUUUGGAAAAUAUCCAGCUGUCAUGUGUCAAAUUUGACAAAAUUCGAUAACUUUUAAACCAUGAAUGUUUCUUGACUAGCUUCUCAUUCUUGACCGUGAUUUAUGGUCCUUUAUGCUCAUAGACAUCUCAAAGAUGUGUUCAAUGUAUUCAGAUCGAGAAUGUCUUUGAUUCGAUCAAAACAAGCUAGAGAAGGAUGUACACAUGUUGGAGAUUGAUUGUAAAUAUGCUGGAAAAUGAUGUUAUUUGUAACAUCCCGCUUUUUCGAGACAUUAACUUACAAAAUUCUAAAUGUAAAAAUACAAAUUCAUUUUUAUUUAUUUAUGAUUAUCUUAAAUACCCAUUUACCUUAAUAUCAAUUAAUAAUAUUUUUAGUUAUAUUUUCAAAAAUAAUGAAUCAAAGUAUUUACAAUCACUAAAAGUAAAUUUAAUACGUUAAACAAAAGAAACUCAUAGAGCCAAAACUAUUGAUGUUUUACUACUCAAACAUAAAUCCUAGUUGGUAAUAAACUUUGGAGUUGUGGAAAACUCACCCAAUAAAUCUAACACCCCACAAAAGUACCUCAAAACCUCCAACUAUAUACUUCCUCGCAUUUCUCCUAUUAGGUUGACUAUAAGCUCAAGUAACACUAUAUGUGACGUCGUGUCAAAUGUAAGGGUCAUCUCUAAAAUAUUUUACCAAUAAAUAAAUAACAAUCAAAAUAAAACAGUACAUUACCUACUCAGCCAACAAAAAGGUACAAUAACAAUGAAAAUAUAACAGUACAAUGUUUACAUAAUUAAUAACAUUAAUUCACUCAAACGACCACCUACAGUGACGAUACGAAUAUAACAUUACGAUAUCUACAUAAUUAAUAACAUUAAUUCAUUCAUCCAAACGACUACGAGGUACAAUAACAAUAAAAAUAUAACAGUACGGUUAUAUUUUAUAAAAAUGAAGUGAUUAAUUUUAUAAAAAUGUCAUAGAUAAAUUAUUAGGAGUGCAACAAGACAAUCAAUAUCACCAAAUGAAUGUGUUAUUAUUUUAAUUUUCAAUGAAAAAUUAAUUGUUGUUUUUUAAGUUUAUUUUUUAAUUAAUAUAAUAUACCUUAUUCUUAAGUUACAAUGAGAAAAUAAUGUUACAAUGAGAAAAUAAUAUCUAAUGGUUGGGUGAUGAGUACUAAAUGACAAAAACUAAUUUUUUUGCCUAAAACAAACAUGACAAUUUUAGUGAUAAAAAUUAAUGUAGCGAGUUGAACAAAAUAAUAUGACAUGUAACAUUGUAAUCAAAAGGCAAGUUUAAGUGAAAGAUGGUUCAUCAUAUAUAAGUAGACCAUACUUUAUUUAACAUAGUAAGUGGGAAACAAAACAAUUCAUAGAUGCAUGUUUCUAGUUUUCAUGGAGAUUCCAUGUUUCCAUGUCCUCUUUUCCUACCUUUGUCUCCGUUAUCGGGGUUUCCUCGAUUGUCGUCUUCUUCAACGGGUGGCUCACUAUUGCCGUAUCCCAUGCCACCGCCACCAUAGUUGUAUGCCAUGCCCUGUACCCAUUCUGAUGCCCAACCCAAUGCCAAAUCUCUCAAAGUUCUCCAAUCUACAAACCUUCUUAUUAAAGUACUAUAUUCGGUUUCCUCAGCUGUCACAAUAGUCAUAAGAAGGGGAACACACAGAAAGAAUACUAAGAUAAAAAAUUUUGUUUUCAUCCUUGCUUAAAUUUCCUAAAGUUUGUUGUAAAAUAUGAAUAAUAUCCUCAAAUAUUUAUAGUGGUCACGCAUAGAAAAAAUAAGAUAAUUUUAAAAGACAAAAACAUAUUGAAGAAAAAUAUAUUGCGUACUAAAAAAAAAGACAAUAUGUAUUCCAUGGCCAAUUGUGAAGACAAUGGGUCAUCAAAAUCCAUAGAGACAUGGAAAGGUUAAAUAAAUUAGAACAUGUUUGCCUUUUGGAUCAUGAUAAUUUGAGGAUUAAAGAGACGUUUUAUCCGAUUAAUCUUUUCUAAAAAGUUGCUUUUGGUUAAAUUGUUUCGGAAAAUAGAAUUUAAAACUAGCGAGUUGUAAAAUUUGGCUUCCUAAUAAAUUUAGGAUUAAAGAGAUGUAAUAUUCAAUUAAUUCUAGACGAAUGAUUUAUUUUGACUAUUAGAUGUAUUAAUAUUGGAUUAUUAAAUUUUUAGUUUCUAAAAAGUUUUGAAAUUUUAUUUUUAGUACUUAUUAAAAAAAUUAUAUUUUUUAGUUUCUACAAAAUUAUUAUGUAAACAGUUUAAUUUAUACCAUAUUGGAACAUCAAUAUAAAUAUUUAAAUACUUUUUUUUUGCAUACAUGCUAACAUUAUAAAAAGUUCUACAUAAAUAUCAAAAUUCAAUUUCUAAAUCUAUAUUUUAAAGACUUUUAUCUUAAAUAUAAGAUGUUUAAUUAAUUCAUCCCAAAUAAAAAAAAUUAAAAUUAAUGUGAAUUAAUUUUUAAGAAUAUUCUAAACAGGCUUACAAAAUAUUAUUCAAAAAUUUAAAAGUUGAAGAAUAUUUCAUUUCAUCAAAGACUAAAAUAAUUUGAUUAAUAAUUUUAUAGGAAUUAAAAAAAUGUAUGCAUACAUAAAAAAUAAAAAUAAAUUAUCAUCUUUUUAUCUUAGUAAGGGGUCUAGGAACACAACUAAAACAAAUCAGACGAGAACUUCUCGUUGAAUUAAUUAGAAAUAACUUAUAUUUGGUGUUGGUUAGCAUCCUUCUAAUCAGCUGUUGGGGGCAUUCCUUGUGCCUUCAUUUUAUUGAAUGGAUUUUUCUAAAAUGGAUUUUUCUUUGUUCAAAGAAGAACAAACCAUUGUUGAGUGUUUGCCGUCAUAACCAAUUAUUAAAAUAGAGUAAUAUUAAUGGAAAUGCACAAUUGCUCCUACGAUCCCUUAACUUAAUUUUAAAUAAUACUUUCAUUUUUUUUAUUUGGUCUUUUAUUUAAUAUUAUUACAAAAAUUCGAAAAUAUAAAGAAUGAAAAUAUGAGUUUAUUGGAAUAUUUAAGUUAUUUCAUCGACGUUGUUUCAAUAAAUUAUGAUCUCAUCAACAUAUAUCAAAAUAGAUUUAAUGAAUAAAGAAUGAUAUGAAUUAGAUUGAGUAUAUCCUUUUGAAAUGAGAGUAGAGGAAAGUCUAGCAAACCAUUGCUUACUAGACUGUUUUAAACCAUAAAGAGGUUUUUGAAGUUUACAAACAAUAUUUGGAUUAUGAGCCAAUAACCCAUGGGACAAUUGCAUAUAGACUUCCUCUUCUAAAUUGUCAUGUAAAAAAGCAUUGUGAGCAUCUAACUUAUGAAAAUGCCAAUUAUGAGAUGAUACAAGAGCAAGUAAGAGUCUUACGAUAAUGAGCUUAGCUAAAGUGAAUAAGUAUCAAAAUACUCAAUUCCUUCAAUUUGGUUAAAACAUUUGGCAACAAGGCGUUCCUUAUAACGUAUUAUAGAACCAUCAACGUUAUAUUUUACCUUAUAAACUCAUCGACAACCUAAGGGCUUUUUAACACGUGGCAACUCAGUAAGAGUCCAAGUGUUGACUGAUCGAGUAGCUGAGAUUGCAUGGUCUGAACCUAAUUAUUGUAUGUGACAACUUGUUGAAAGCUAGUAGGGUCACGAACAGUAGAAAUAAAGGAAAAAUAAAUGAUAGAAAAAAUAUGACAAUUUUGACUAAGAUAAGACCUGAUAUAAAUGAUACAAUAUAUAGGACUUAUGGCGCCUAUCAUGUGCAAAAUUACACUCAAAAUCUUGUAAGUAAGCAGGGACCUUGUUAGACCUUGAAGACCUACAAAUAGUAUCUUGAUGCUCAUCAAAAUCAAAGAUAAGGGAAGUAUGUAAAUUGUUGGGACUAGUAUCAAGACUAGAUGAAGGAGUUGGAGCAAACAUAAUACUAUCAUCAGUGGAGUUAUUAACAUAAACAAUUAUUAGGCAAAAGCAUAUUAGUAUCAUCAAACAAAAUAAAGGAAUCAUGAGAAUCAUCAUUAAUAUGCAAGGAAGUAGAAUUAAGAUUAACAUAUGCAAAAACAUGUUCAUAAAAAACUACAUUCCUAGAAACAAAGGUGACAUGAGUAUGUAAAUCAAGCAUCAAAUAACCUUUAGUUCCUUAUCUAAAUCCAAGGAAAAUACACUUGGUAUCCCUUGGAUCAAGUUUAGUUCUAUGAUGAAGCAAAGUGGAAGCAUAAGCAAGACAUCGAAAAACCAUUAAAUACAUAAAGUUAGGAGAUUGUUUAUAUAACAUUUCGAAAGGGGUCUUAUUACGUAAAACAGGAGGUAGUUAACAUGAUAAUAAGAAAAGCAACAUGAUUAAUAGUAGAAGACAAAAAAUUCUUUGGUAGUUUAGAGUGGAAAAUAAGUGAUCUAGUCCCCUAAUCCAUAAUCCAUAGAGAAAAAGGAUUAGAUACGAAACUUGUAUUAGAAAUACUUGAUACCAUGUGAUUGGAUUGAUCUGGAAUAGAAUUCUUGGUUUCGAAAGAAGUUACAACAUGAUAUUUAGAAUUAUGUAGCAGAUUAAUCAAAAUAUUAUAAUAUGUUUUGCUAAGAUAAUUGUUGGAAUCGUGUUGCUAUCUAGGUUAGGAGAGAGAAGGAUUCUUGCAACCAUUUGUUGAAGACGAAUUCGAAGAUUGUUUUUUACCAUAACUUAGUGGCAAGCCAUGAUUGAAAUAACAUGUGUCUACAAUGUGAUUAUUCUUAUGGCAUUGAGUAUUAAACAUGGAGGGCCGAGGUUGACCAUGAUGAUGCGAGAAUUUCCCGUGACCUUGACCUGAAUUUUUGGAAGUAUUGAUAUUAAAAAAAAAAACAUAAGUAUCAGGAGGAUUAUGGUUCGAAUUGGGGACAAGGUCUUAUUGAACAAAGAAAGAAUACACCUUGUUAAUAGAAGGUAAAUGAUCCAUGAAUAAAAUCUGUGUGUGAACGUUAUUGUAAUUUUUAUCCAAAACUUUUAGAAAACAAGUGAUAUACUAGCUUGCAAGAACGAGGAAUAGGGCAUAUGCAUGAUUGUGUUGGGCACAAAUCCUCCAAUUCACCCCAAAGAAUCUUCAAAUAGGUGAAAUAGGUAGACAAAGAACGUUCACCUUGUUUGAUUGAAUGAAGAUCACGAAGGAGAUAGGAAAAUCAAAAAUUAUUUCCUUUAAUGAAACGAUCAUGAAGAUCAUACCAUAACUCUGAUGGUGAAUCAAUGCAAACGGAGAACGUUAAAAACCCAAUAUUGAUUUUGGUUGUAAAAACAGAAAACGAAGAACAUCAUUGGUUCUCGAAACAGAAAAUGAAGAAUAUUCUAGGUUAAUUAAAAUCAAUAGUGUAUAUAUUUAACUUGAUAAACAAAAGGACUGAAAGUAAAUAGAGAUAACAGGAUAGAUAUCACACAAUGAUAUAUCUUAGUUCACCUAACUCGGGCUAUGUUCAGUCCUUACAAUUGUGAAAUUUUCCACUAAGCUUUCUAAUGGAGAACGUUCUUGGUUUUACACAGUUUUGUUCAGAUCAACCUUAAUAUGUAACAACAAUUCAUUUCCACUUAGAAAUGAUUCAAUUUGGUCACUUAUCAAUCUUUAGAGAGGAUUUUACAAUUCACCUUUUAACCAUAAAAAUGAUUUUCUACAAACUAUAAACAAUCCUUAUAGUCUUGAGUUUACACAAUGAUGAUUUAAAGAGAUUGGUAGAAUCUGAGUAUGUUCAAAUCGUGUUUGAGAAUAUAUUCUUGAUAAAAGAAUUCAUUAUAACAGUUCUCAUAUUUGAAGAAGAAAACAUAACUGAAUCUUUUGUUUAUGAUUGAGAAACUUUCAAGUAUAUAAUUGUAUGUAAGUGAUGGAUUUGUUAACACUUGAAGUUCUAUUUUUCCUUGAACUUGAAGUUCCUUUUAUAGGCUUCAAGGAGGUUGAUGACAACUACUUUGACCGUUUGAAAAUAUCCAAGUUGUCAUGUGUCAGAUUUGACCAAAUACCAUAAUUUUUAAAUCAUGAAAGUUUCUUAACUAGCUUCUCAUUAGACCAAAGGUUUCUCUCUCAUGAACCGAUGACAGGGUUGAGGAACACAAGAUUUUACAGCUAUGAAGACCUCAUUCUCAUCCCUUUAACAUAAAACAAUUAUAACAAACGAAGAAAAAACAACAACUUCCAAUUUUACAUGUUGGAUCAUCUCCCACAUUCCAACCCCUUGCCACACCGCCACACUUCAAGGGUCAUCCAAAAAAAAUUUCAAUUUAUUUCUGCCUCAUUAAAACACCAAGCACAAUACUUCUAACCAAAAAAAGGAAAAACUCCUAAAAGUGAUGUUUAUUUACGAAAAAAAUGAUUAUUUUUUAAAAAAACUUGUAAUAAAUAGGUACACUUUAUUUUCUUUUAAUUAGAAAUUUAAAAAUCAAACCAUUAACCUGACGAGCUGAAUAAACUAAUACAAUCCAAACGAAUUAAAUUAAUUUAUUUUGUAUUGGAGUCCAAAAUAUAUUAAAUAAAUCCUACUUCUAUUGGUUCAUAAAUCCUACUUUUAUAAAAUUGUCAUAGAUAAAUUAUUAGGGGCGCAACAAGACAAUCAAUGUCACCAAAUGAAUGUGUAAUUUUAAUUUUCAAUGAAAGAUUAAUUGUUGUUUUUUAAGUUUAUUUUUUAAUUAAUAUAAUGUACCUUAUUCUUAAGUUACAAUGAGAAAAUAAUGUUACAAUAAGAAAAUAAUAUCUAAUGGUAUUGGGUGAUGAGUACUAAAUGACAUAAAGUAAUUUUCUUGCCUAAAACAAACAUGACAAUUUUAGUGAUAAAAAUUAAUGUAAACACUAGAUGGUUCAUCAUAUAACAGUAGACCAUACUUUAUUUAACAUAGUAAGUGGGAAACAAAACAAUACAUAGAUGCAUGUUGCUAGUUUUCAUGGAGAUUCCAUGUUUCCAUAUCCUCAUCUCCUACGUUUAUUACCAUUUUCUCCUUCACCUUCGUCUUCAAUGGGUCCCUCACUAUUGUCGUCUUCUUCAACGGGUGGCUCACUAUUGUCGUCUUCUUCAACGGGUGGCUCACUAUUGCCGUAUCCCAUGCCACCAUAGUUGUAUGCCAUGCUCUGUGCCAAUCCUGAUGCCCAACCCAAUGCCAUAUCUCUCAAACUUCUCCAAUCUAUAUACCUUCUUAUUAAAGUACUAUAUUCGGUUUGCUCAGCUGCCACAAUACUCAUAAGAAGGGGAGCACACAGAAAGAACACUAAGAUAAAAAAUUUUGUUUUCAUCCUUGCUUAUAUUUCCUAAAAUUUGUUGUAAAUUAUGAAUAAUAUCCUCAGAUAUUUAUAGUGAUCACGCAUGGGAAAACUAAGAUAAUUUUAAAAGACAAAAACAUAUUAGAGAAAAAUAUAUUGCAUACUAAAAAAAAGACAAUAUGUAUUCCAUGGCCAAUUGGGAAGACAA